GCUCCACAAGUGCCUCAUCGAGGGCUUGGAUUGAAGUAGAGCCCUGGGUAUAAGCCGGAAUGAUCGGAGGGGGACGUCCGAAUAAGGCCUUAAAAGGAGUCAUUUUUAGUCCACUAUGAUAACUGGAAUUAUAACAAAAUUCAGCCCAUCCGAGAAAAGAGAUCCACGAGUGUGGCUUCUCAUUCGUGAAUGCACGUAAGUACUGCUCUAGUCCCCGAUUGACGACUUCGGACUGCCCGUCCGUUUGUGGGUGGUAAGUCGUACUAUGGCGCAAGGAUGUCCCGCUAAGCUGAAAGAGUGUCUGCCAAAAUUUACUCAUGAAGACAGGGUCGCGAUCGGAUAUGAUCGAACUCGGAAACCCAUGAAUCUUGACCACAAUUGUCGCAAAAACUUCCCCUGAUUUGGCGGCUGUGAACUGAGUUGGCAAAGCCUCGAAGUGCGCUGACUUGGUGAGACGGUCGACCACCACCAUGAUAACUGUAAAAUUGCAGGAAGGGGGUAGGUUGGUAAUGAAGUCCAUGGUGACUUCGUCUCAUACCAACGAAGGAACUGGGAGUGGCUGGAGGAGUCCAGCUAGUGCUUGGGUUGAAUACUUCGUCUGUUGACAAACUAAGCAUGCUGAAACAUAUUGCUCCACAUUUGCCCGCAUGCGUGGCCAAUAAAAAAAAAGUAGCCAAGCGAACCAAGGUACGUUUUACUCCACCAUGACCCGCGAAUGGGGUAGCAUGAAACUCGUGCAACAGUAGGGCCUUUAAGGAAGAGUUGGGGCUGAUGUAGUAUCUAUGCUUGAAGAACAACAAGCCAUCAUGAAGGGAAUAGUCCGAAGAGAGGGAACCCGUCGUGAACUGUUGAUGAAGGGAGACUAAGUCCGGGAAUGUAGAGUUUUCCUAACGAAGGGUGGUCAAAAACUCUAAGGAGGGGUGGCUCGAGAACGACAGACAUGAAGGCGCGGAUAGCGCAGGCUGUUCCAAUUCCUCUUCAUGGACCCGAGACAAAGCGUCCGCAGCUUGAUUAGCACGCCCCGGCUUAUAUUCGAUUCGAAAAUGGUAGCCCAACAACUUCCGGAUAUAAAUCUGUUGAUCUGGAGUUUGUACCACCUGCUACAAUAAUUCUUUCAUGCUUUUGUGAUCCGUUCGGAUAAUGAAAAACCUGCCCAAUAGGUAUUGGCGCCAUUUGUGUACUGCCUCAGCAAUGGCGUGAAGUUCCUUGAGGUAUGUUGAUGAAGCUUGUAGGCGCGGACCCAAUUUCUUGCUGAAAUAAGAGAUUGGGUGACCUGCUUGCAUGAGAACGGCGCCUAUUCCCACAUUAGACGCGUCAGUUUCGAUCACGAAGGUCUCAUUGAAAUCUGGCAACCGUAAAACUGGCGCUGCAACCAUUGCACUUUUCAGGGCAUCAAAAGCCACGGUAACCUCCGGAGUCCAAUUAAAAGCGUCUUUGCGUAACAAAUCCGUGAGCGGAGCCGCGAUUGAAGCAUAACUGUGAAUGAACCACCGAUAAUAGCCAGUGAGGCCGAGGAAAACUCGGAGGUGCUUCAAGGUGCAGGGUAUGGGCCACUUCAUCAUGGCAUCGAGUUUUUGCGGAUCGGCACGUACCCCGCCAGCAGAAACUAUGUGUCCCAGAUACUCAAUUGUCUCCUGGCAAAAGUGGCAUUUGGAGAGCUUGACGUAAAAACUACCCUUGUGAAGGCAAGUCAAAACCUGCUCCAGAUGAGUAACAUGCUUAGAAAUAAUAGUGUUGUAAACCAGAAUAUCGUAAAAAAAAAAAACGAUUACAAACUUGCGCAAGAAUGCAGCAAACAACUGGUUCAUUGUGGCUUGAAAAGUGGAUGGGGCAUUCAACAGCCCAAAAGGCAUGACAAGAAAUUCGUAGUGGCCCUCAUGAGUCCGAAACGCUGUUUUAUAGACGUCCCUAUUAUGUACCCUGAUUUGGUGGUAACCAGCCCGGAGGUCCAGUUUGCUAAAAAUAGUAGCGCCUCCUAAUUCGUCCAAAAGCUCGUCAAUGGUUGGAAUCGGGAAUUUAUCUUUGAUCGUUACUGCAUUGAGAGCGCGGUAAUCGACACAAAAGCGAUAGGUACCGUCCUUUUUUUUUUAACCAAUAACACCGGAGAGGAGAAAGGACUUUGACUUGGCCAAAUUAUACCUUGAUCAAGCAUCUCUCGAAUUAAUUUUUCCAUCUCAUUUUUUUUGGAAGUGUGGAUAUCGAUAAGGACAAACAUUCACUGGCUUUGAAUUAGGAAUGAGAUGGAUCUUGUGGUCAAUGGUGCAGUGCGGGGGAAGGCCUGUUGGCGGAAGGAACAGGUCACGAAAUUUCUGCAAAGUAGUAGAGAUUGCCACGAGCAAGGUAUUGGGAAAAAUAAGUGUAUUCUCUUUGGUAACCAAAGAGGCAGUUUUCAACUCUUCUGUCGCUAGUGGCUGCAAGACAAACAUGCUGUGGACAUUUGAACUGUGGAUCAGUGCCUGAAAUUGAUUAAAAGAAAUCAAGAUAGAGGACUGGUGCAAAUCCCCAUGGAGAAUGAUCGGACGCCCUUCCCAACAAAACUCCAUUGACAGGGCUGUAUAAUCAUGGGCAACACGACCCAAUUAUUGCAGCCAUUGAAUACCAAGAACGACAUCAGGUCCUUCAAUUGGCAGGAUAAAAAGAUUUAAGGGAAACACAUUCCCUUGCAACAUCAAAGCAACUUGGGGGCAAGUGUGCUGGCAAAUUAAAUAAUCUCCAUUGCCAAUGUAAACUCGAAAUUUAGGUGUUGGCUGAAUAGGGAGGCCCAAACGCUCCACCAGAGCCGGUUUAAUAAAAUUGUGAGUACUACCACUGUCGAUGAGCACAUGGAAGCGAUGAGACCCAAACUCACCAACUAAACGAAGGGAGCGGGGAUUACCUUGGCCUGCCAAGGCAUUGAGGCUGGAAAUGUCGCUCGUGACCAAGUCCUCGGCUGGUUCGGUUGCCACGCCAUCAUCAUCUGUAUCCUCAUCAAUAUCAUCCGUCCCUAAAAGAAGCAAAAAUUUGUUGCGACAACGAUGAUUAGCAGAAUAUUUUUUGUCACAAUUAUAGCAUAAUCCCUUUUCGCGCUUCUCUCGUAACUCAUUAGGGGUGAGGCGACGAAUAGGUAAAGCAGGGGCCGGAGCUAUGGGUGGUGUUUGCUUAUGCCCGACCGUUGUCGGUGGUGAGGCCGAAGCGGGGGUGGCUGUCUGAAACGGGCCCGUCGGAACGGUCGUUACAGCAUGUUGUCUAGUGGAACUCUCCGUGGACGUGUUGGCAGCAUUGGAAGAGGACCACUUAUGCCAAGGGCGAGCGCUCUACUUGAUCUCCUCACAGCGAGUUUCAUAGGCUCGAGCUAAGGCAAAAGCCUCCAUCAACGUGGACGGCCGUGAGAAAAGUAGCUCACGACGAAUAUCCGAUUUCAAGCCGGUAAUGAAAAAACUAAUCAACAACGGCUCAAAAAUUCCCAUGACUUUAUUCAUCAGGUCCUCGAAGGCCGAUUGAAAUUCCGCCACAAUCGAAGUCUGAGUAAGCUUAGAGAGAUUACCUUGAUGGUCUUCAUAGAGGGAAGCUCUGAAACGGUGCUUCAGACUGAGUAAAAAUGCCUUCCACGAAGACAACAGAUUAUUGGCCUUCAUCCAUUGAUACCAACCUGCUACCGGACCUUCCAUAUGGAAGGAGACAAUCCGCAGCCGGAGCGGCUCAGGUAUUCCAUGAAAAUAAAAAAAUUCCUCAACGCGAAAUACCCACCCGUGUGGAUCGGUUCCGUUAAACUUCGGAAUCUUCAUUUUCAUAAAACGUAAGGCAGUGGCUAACUCAUUAUCUCCAGCACCCAUCUCAGUAACAGGCGGCGGGCCGGUGGAGGACCCAGAAGACCCGCAGACGAUCCCGACGAUCCAUGAAACUGAGAACGGAACUCCUCCAGUCGCGAAUCCACAGUAGACAUAUAUUGUUGGAGUAUUUGAUGAAACGACAUCGUUUGGCUCUCAAAUUGAGCUUCAAAUUGAUCCUGCAAAGCCUUAACCGCUAAAAGCACAUCCAAGUCCGCCAUCAAAGGAGUCGAUGAAAGCACCAAUUGAUACGUUCUUCCUGCAAAAUGACCGGUUAGCACAAGGGCACUCUUCGAGCGAGUGUCAGCUCCAAUAUCUCCAGAACGAAGAAGGGAGAAAACAGAGAAAAGGUUGAGCAGAAAAAGGAAGAAUAAGGAAAAGAGAGAAAGUUCAGAUCUAAAAUCUCAUAGCCUCCAUCAUGCAGACCUCUCCCGAGAGUUUUAUGCCUUCUCUUGGGAAAAUCAAAACCAAAGCGACACAACCGUCUAACAGAAUUGGUUACAACCAGAAAUAGUAAAUUGCAGGAAAAAAAUAAAAAAAUAAAAAAACAAACCAAAAGAUAAAACCGGAGCUUCACGUCCCUUUCCUUACACGACGUAGUCGUUCAUCCAAGUUGGUGGUUUUCUGGGCCUGCGUGGGCCUGAGUUGGACUGGGCCUUGGAAUGCUUGGUGACUAGCUGAGUGGCAGCAUUGGGCUCUUCCGUGGGAGGUACUUUAGGUGUAUUGGGCUCUUCCACAACGGAUGCUUCAGUUGUCUGUACAUGUUGCUGUAAAGGGAUGGCCACGAAUGUAUCAUUCAUUGUUAGAUUUAGAUCCUUGCUAUCCCUCUGCAUUUUUUUUCUUGUUGAUAUUUUGGAUAUUUGUUGUUUUGCUUGGGGUGGAUUGUUGCUUGUUGAGAUAUAACCUUGAAUUCAUGUUUGUCAUCAUCCAUCUUAAUAUGCUCUGUUUCUAUUGUGAUUGCGGAAUGCUCGAGAAACCCCUCCAAUAUUUACACUUGAUGUUGUUUUUCUCACCUAAUGAGAAGAUUCACUGAUGAUUCAUGAUGUGAAGCUUCCUUUGAGAACCUUACUAUUUGUUUUCUGCUGUGCUCUGUUCCAUGUUUUUUUCUUCUUUGUUUUAGCUACUCUUUGUCCUUGGACCGUGUUCAAUGCAUAGAUGGUGGGAGAGGAGCAACUCUUGGUUUGAGGAAAGCUUCCUAGAAAAACGGGCAGAGAAAACUUUUCGGGGAUGGUCCGAAAUAGAGAAGAAAGAAGAAAUGAGUUUUUCUGGCGCUUAAGAGGAUUCCGAAAAUUUUUCGAAGUUGGUUGGUGCUAGUGCUGACUGGUGCUGGCUGGUGUUGGCUGGUGUUGGCUGCUGGCUGCCGCCGCGGGGAGGUGGUGAUCGUGCUGAAGCCAGGCGGGAAGGGAAGCUAGGAAGAAGAUGAAGAUUUGGUUUGGGCUUGAGAUAAGGCACUAGGCCCAAUUUUGUGUUGGUUUUGGCUUUGGGCUUGGGUUUGAAUUCGGAGCCCAGACCCAAGCCUAUGCUGAAGAUGAAGCCCAAAGCCCCAUUAUUAUUAUUAUUAUUAUUAUGCUAGUUUGGGCUUGGGUUUGGGCUUAUGGACUUGGGUUUAUGAUAUUAUCACUAUUAUCAUUAUUAUUAUUAUUACUAUUAUUAUUAUUAUUACCAUAGACAUUAUUAUUAUUAAUUCAAUUUUCCAAAUCUUAUUAUUAUUAUUGUUAUUAUUGUUAUUGUGAUUGUCAUUAUUGUCAUUGAAAAUCUAUAUUCUCGCAGUUUAAUCUCCUAAAGUUCAUCUCUUAUUAUUAUUAUUUCAAACUCUCAAAAUCUUAUUAUUAUUAUUAUUAUUAAUUCAAACUUUCAAAAUCUUAUUAUUAUUAUUAUUAUUAUUAUUAUUAUUAUUAUUAUUAUUAUUAUUUCAAACUCUCAAAAUCUUAUUAUUAUUAUUAUUAUUAAUUCAAAUUUUCAAAAUCUUAUUGUUAUUAUUAUUAAUUCAAACUUUCAAAACCUUAUUAUUAUUAUUAUCAUUAAUUAGAACUCUCGAAAUCUUAUUAUUAUUAUUAUUAUUAUUAUUAAUUCAAACUUUCAAAAUCUUAUCAUUAUUAUUAUUAAUUCAAACUUUCGAAAUCUUAUUAUUAUUAUUAUUAUUAAUUCAUACUUUCAAAACCUUAUUAUUAUUAUUAUUACUAUUAAUUCAAAUUUUCGAAAUCUUAUUGUUAUUAUUAUUAUUAUUAUUAUCAUUAAUUUAAACUUUCAAAAUCUUAUUAUUACUAUUAUUACAAAUUCAACUUUCAAAAGUCUAUGGUCUCGCAGUUCAAUUUCAUAAAGUUCGUUUCUCAUUUUCUUUAACAAAUUUCAAUUUAAUUACCGGAGCUCUAAUAUUUUAAAUUUAAUUCCAAAUACUCAAAUUUUCAAAUAAGCUCCAAAGAAUCCAAUUUUCACUCAAACAGUUUUAAUUCUACUUCGGCUCUCAAAUAAACCUUUUGUUUUUCUUGGUUCUACAUAAGCAUGAAUGGAAUUUGUGAGACUAAUUCGUGCAAGAUAGAUCGAGCUUUGGUGGGAGCCCGACACAUAUGAUUUUAUGAUCGAUUGAUUGAUUGACUGAUUUAAUUGUCAUGCGUGAUUGAUUUGUUCUGCUUUGUGAUAUGUAUAUAUUCAUCCCAUAUAGAUUUACUAACCCCCCUCUUGAUAGCGCAUAUUGGUUCGCCACCUAGGUAUGUAUUUUCUCGCAUCAUGGUCACUCCUUGUGCUUGUUUUAAUUCUCAUACGUGCAUGAUCGAUUCGAGUAUUCAUUGUUUUUCUCAUCAAUUGUCACAUCAGCUUCAUUUUAUUAGUAGAGACCCGACUUUAGGGACUUAGAGGGGUGCUAUGGUCUUUACCGUACCUUCCCGAUAAGUAACCUGACCCCCGAGCCCGAUCCGGUUUUUCGUAAGAUCACCUUUUCCAAAAUAAGGAGUCGCACUUAGGGUUUUCUUUCUUAUUUUGUUUACCCUUUUAAAAAUAAAACAAAAAUAAGUGGCGACUCCAAGUCAUUUUCAAAUAAUCAAUAAAAAAUCAAUUUUUCAAAUAAAAAUCGAGCUCACCAUCGAGUGGAAAACGCAUGAACCAAAAUGCGGGGUCCACACAUGGAUACAAAGAUUAAAAGAAUAAAACAAUAUUCACAAAAAUGAUGACAAAAUAAAACUACAAUAAUGUUCAAAACAAAUGACAAUAAAAUUAUACAAAUUGAUUUAUUGAACUAAUUAGAAAAAAUGAUAUUUGAAAGAAUUAGUUUUCCAAAAAUUUCAAAUUUAUUAAGAACAAUUUUGAAUUAGUGAUUUCAAUUUAUUUAUUUACAAAAAAAAAUUAAUUUAUUUUCGAUUAAUGAUUUGACUCGAUUUUAUUUGUAUUUAAUUUUCAAAAAAAGUUAUUUACACUUAUUGUAUCAAAAAAAUUUAUAACAAAAUUUAAAUUUGGUAACAAAAUUAAUUUUACUUACUUUUAUCAUAAAGGAAUGAAUUUUCACAUUUUUAUUUAUAAAAGUAUUUUGAUUCAUUUUCAUUUAAAAAAAAUGAUUUAUACAAAUUAUUAAAAAAAAAACACACAACUUUAUUUGCAAAAGAAUUUUUAAUUAAAAAUGAAUUUUUGGGACAACUUUAUUUACAAAACAAUUUUUAGACAAUUUUUAUUAAAUAAAGAAAUUUUUGGAUAAUUAUUAUAAAAAACAAUUUUUCAAAUUCUAUUAAAUUUUUUUUUUUGGAUUUUUCUAAAAGCAUUUUUCUAAAUUUUUUAACAAAAAAAACUUUCAUUUAUUAAGAAGAAUAUUUUAAAAUUUUUAUUUUACUAGAUUAUUCCUCUUAUUUAACCAGAAUUUUUUAUUUGUUCAAUAUUCAAUUCCGUGCACACUUAAUAAAUAUAUAUAAACGAACUAAUAAAAAUAAAACCAAAUAUUUACUACAUUGUUCCUCUUAUUUAACCAAAAUUUUUUAUUUAUUCAAUAUUCAAUAUUCAAUUCUGUGCACACUUAAUAAAUAUAUAUAAACGAACUAAUAAAAAUAAAACCAAAUAAAAGUGAAAAAUAACAAAUGUAAUCAAAUAAACUUACAAUAAGUUCAAUGUUUUUCUACAACUUUUCGAGUCUCACUUUCUUCCAGGAAAUCUUAUACUCCACACGAUCAUAAAUUCGUACUCAGUCAACAAAAUUGUAAAAUGGGUUUAUGCAAAAACAAAAAUAGUUCAAAUAUAAAUAUAUAGGAAUAUACAAAAUUCAAAACAAAUAUUCAAACUCAAAUUCAAACUUCAAAUUAGUUCAACAAAUUAAUUAAUCAAAAUGAGCUUAAAUUAAUAAAUAUAACCCAACAGAAAUAUUCAUAUCCCAAUAGCCUUAUUCCAAAAUUUUCAAGCUAAAAUACAAGCAUAAUUAGUCACACCCAAAAUAUUACAACACAAAAUAAAUUCAAUUCCACUUAAAUUUAAUAUCCCAUUAUCCAACCAUAAUUUAAUAAACAAACUCAAAUUCAAAACCAAAAUUAAACCCAAUUUAUGCUAACCGAAUUCACGAUCAAAACCAAAUCCAAUUCAACCAAUUCAAUAAACAAAUAACUAAAUAAAAUAAAAUUACCUUUCGUUUGAAACCGUGCAAUGGGUUUGGGUGUUGUGGGUUGUAGGGUAGAGAGAAACAAAGAAAAAUGGAGAAAAGAGAGAGAGAGAGAGAGAGAGAGAGAGAAAUGGUGGAGCGGUAGAAAUGGGUUUUGGGUGGGGAAAAUAGAAAAAGGAAGAGGAAUGAAGAAGAAGAGGGGAACCAGAUAUUGGAAGGGGGGAAAGGGUGUCGUAUGGGUGGAUGGGUGGGGAAAAUAGAAAAAGGAAGAGGAAUGAAAAAAUGGAAGAAAGAAAAUGGGGGCGGUCGGUGUGUGCGUGUUGGGAGUUGUGGAGUGUGUGUGUUUGGGGAGAAGAAAAAUGGAGAAAAGAUUGGAAAAAAAAAAAAAAAAAAGAGGAGCUGGAGUCGGUGGUCUGAGAAGUGGGGGAGGAGAGAGAAUGGGGAAGUGGGUGGAGUGGUAUAUCGAGAUUUGAAAAAUCUGUGGCAUUUUCUUGUAUUUUUGUGGCAUUCAUGAUCAAGAUGGAUCUAAACCAUUCAAGUGCCGUGUGCACAACUCCACCCAAAUACCGGCCAUUGAAGGCAACAUCUUCCUCCACUUGACGGGAGAAGUCAUAAACAUCUAGGAAAAAAAAAUCAAUGAUGUCAAUUCAUUUUCAUACAUUUCAUUUUUCAUUGACUCUCAUGCCUUCAUACUCAAAUCUUAUUACUCGGUCUUUAACUCAUAUAUUAUCCAUCUAAUUCAUAUAUGAUCGUAUUAUUUCAUACAUUAAUUUAAUUUUAUAUAUUUAUAAUUUCGUUUAACAAUUCAAAUUUCAUCGUAAAUGUCACGGGUAUAAAUUCAAAUUUUCAUUAUUAUAAAGUUUUCAUUUAAAUUUUUUUCAGGUGUCCUUUCUUCGGAAGGGCAAGAUCCUACUCCUACCCCAACCCAAAGAAGGUGGCAAAUUUACACCUCAACUUUCUUUGAAUCUUCUUCUCAACUAUAUCCUUUAAAAGAGUGGAACGUUUGUGUUCCUUAUGAAAGGGGCUUGUUCCGUGGCAGUACUAAGCCUCUCAGGAGUCUUUUCUGAUUUGGACGGACCAACCUUCACAGAAAUUAAAUGGUUGGGAGUUGGGAGUUGGGAAUUGGGAUGGACCUAUUCUAAAGUCCAAGUCUCCAGGAGACUAGGACUUGGGUUGGGACUUCAGAUUUUUAUUUUUGAAGUGUUGGAGACUUUUAGCAUGUAGGGUGGUUUGUUGGAGGUAGUUAAUUUUUUCUUUUUCCUCUUCCAUCUUUAGUAGGGAGAAGAAAUAUGUGUAGAAGGAUGUCAUUGAAUUUAUAUUUGAUAAUUAUGUUUUAAAAUGAAUUUUUUUCAAUUUAUAAGUAUAUAUAUUUUAAAAUUUUAAUUAAAUAGCAAUUUACUUUCAAUAGGGGCGGAGCCAAUACUGGCUCCGGGCGCACUGCCUCCCCUCAAAUUUUAUAAAUAAAAAAUUUCCUUUGCUAAUAUAGGAAUUUUAGAAAGUUAAAAAAAAAUAAAUAGAAAAGCAAGUUUGCCCCUUCUAAAAAACUAAUUUUAUACUUGAAAAAAGAAAAUAAAUGGAAUAAAAAAAAUAGAGAAUCAUCAAUAUUAAAUAGAUUUUAUAAAAUAUUUGUUUGUUUGUAUUUUUAAAUUUAUUUAAUGUUAAUAAAAUUAAAUUUAUUUAAAUCCUAAUAUAUACAAAAUAAAUGGAACAAAAUGAAUUUUUAUAAUUUUAUAUUUGAUAUUAUAUAUAUAUAUAUAUAUAUAUAUAUAUAUAUAUAUAUAUAUAUAUAUAUAUAUAUAUAUAUAUAUAUAUAUAUAUAUAUAUUUUUGGUUAUAGGCUAUAUUUUGUUUAAUUUUGAAAUUUUUUUAAUGUUUAUAGUCUAUUUGAUUGUCAGUUUUCUAUUUUCAAAUAUAAAAAGUUGUUUUAUCAUUAUUAUUUGAAAACAAUUUUUAAAAAUAAAGUGAAAUAGAAAACAAUUUUUAGAAAAUAAGUAGAAUUUGUUUUUAUCAGUUUUUAAAAACUAAAGGAAAAUAUGAGUCUAUUUGACCAUGUUUUCUGUAAUUUGUUUUUAAUAAUUGUUUUUCAUUCUUUUAACUUAAAAGUGGUUUUUAAAAAUAAAUUUUAGAAAACAUAAUCAGUCAGACUUUUAGGUUUAAUCAAGUAGUUAUUAAUUCAUAAAUAUGUACACAAUUAUUCAAAUAUAUGUUACUUCAUUGUUGAUGAAAUUUAAUUUUGUUUCAAUAUUUGAUAUUUUAUUAAACAUAUAUUUUUAUUGUUAGGUUAUUUUUAGUUUAAUUUAAAGAUUUUUAUACAUGUUUAGAUUUUAGGUUAAAUAAAACAUUUAUUAAUUUAGAGUUGAUUACCUAAAUUUUAAUAAUGACAUUAUAAUUACAUUAUAGAUAACUUUUAAAUAAAAAAUUUAUCAUUUUAAAAAAUCCAAAAAAAAGUAUUAGUUAAAUUAUUAAUUUUUUCCAAAAUUUCUCUAGCAAAAUAUUUCUAAAAAUUUUGGUCAAAUUUCUUACUAACUUAAAAAAAAAAAAAAUUCACAAACACUAUUUGAAUUUUUUUGAUAAACUUUUAAUAAAAUCUAAGACUCUUUUUUCAAUGUUUUUAGUAUUUUUGUUAUUUAAUUUUUCAUAUUAUAAAUUCCUCUUUUCUUUUAUUGAAUCAUACCGAUGUUACCAUUUUUAAAAUAUGAAAAUUUAUUUAUAAUUAUUAUAAUAUUCAAAUUUUUUAUUCCCCUCACACCAAAAUUUCUGGCUCUACAACUACUUUCAAUAUAUCAUAUGAUGAAAAAUAUAGGCAAUGUUUGAGAAUUGUUUUCAAGAAUAGUUUUUUAGUUUGUAUAUAUAUAUAUAUAUAUAUGUGUGUGUGUGUAAAUGUAAAUAGUUCCCAAAAUAAAUUUUUGAGAAAAAAUGGAAAUUAUAUUUGCAUCCACCAAAUUGAUAUUUGUAUCUAUUCUAUUUACACAUCAACUUAUGAUUUUAAACAUUUUGCAAAAUAGGCUCACAAAUUCCUUCAUGCCCUCAUACAAAAAAGGGUAUAGGUACAUAGCUAAAUCAUCUCAAAAAAACAAUUCUAUGGUAACCCUAUUAAAGUGAGUGAUGAACUAAUUGUAAGGAGAAUUCUUAGAUGUUGAUAUUGUUGUCAACAAUAUUGACACAAUUAUGUUUAUGUCUAGGAUGUAAUGGAAUUUGUCGUUUAAAUGUUUUUAUAUUAUGCUCAUAAUAACCACAUUUAUCACAACAUUAUGUGCGUUUAACCUUUUCAUCUGAACAAAUUCUUUCAUUUUUUUAUCUUCUUACUAAUUGCUGGCUUUUAGGUGGUAAUACAACUCUAUAACAAAUGUAUUUAGGAAUUACCCAAUCUUUGUUAUUUCUAGUAGAAUAUAUAGAUUUUGAAUAUGAAGAUAUAAGUGAGUUCAUAUAGUAUUGAGAGCACAUAAUAUAACACGACUUCUUUCCGUAUCUACAUGUAGCAAUCAUAUGUGUACAUGAAAUAUGGUCAAGAUCAAACAUCCUACAUGUGCAUUAACGGGUCUACAAAUUAACUUGAUCACUUAUCCCAAUAUAUUUGACAUUGAACUCCCAAAAGUUGAUAGAGUCAACAUCAUAACUUGAUAAUUUAUUAAACCUUAAGUACAACUUGAGGUUAACCCAUGUGGUAAAGCUUAAUUUUCAUUGACAAUGUUUGUUGUUGGCGUUUUAAAAACCAUCUUUGAAGUAAGUUUCUCAACUCUUCGACCAUUCUCAUAACUGAAAGAUCUCUUGCAUCUUUUAAUGCAACAUUCAUGCACUCAACAAUCUUGUAGUUAUGAUAUUAUAUUUGUUUCCAUUAUUAUGUGACCGAGCCUAUUGCUUAAUUCCUACAUCCGCUAAAUAAAUGGUUGCUCUAAUUUUCCAUGCAUGUGAUUUAUUACUUAUUAUUAUUUGACCUUGUCAUAUGGAUAAAACUUUUCAACUUCUUUUGAAUUAACUUUUCACUUUUUCACAUUUUAAAACUUAUUUUUUAAUAACUAACAAUGAAUAUUUUUUUUUACCAACAAUGGUGAAAUAAGGUUUUAAAUUUCUAGGAAACAAAAAGAAAUAAAAUGAUAAUAUAAAAAAAAAAAAGUUGGUUGCUUACAUUUUUAACAUCUUUCGUGACUAAAAAUAAAGAGCAGAUGAAACAAUAGUGAGAAUUUAGGCUUUUUCUUAGUUGGGACACAAAAAGAAGGAGCAAAUAGAUGAUCAAAUAAAAAAAUAAAAAGCUAAUCUACUAUAAAACGGAGGGAAAGAGAAAAUUAUGUUGAAGGGAAAAAAAAAGGGUAUUUUUUGUCCUAAUUGGAUAAUUUUUUCUACUUUUUGAGGGAUAAAUUAUUCUUUUAAAUAUGAGAGUUAUUUUAAUCCCUUUUAACCAAAUAACCCAAAUUUAAAACGGUUAGAAAAGGUAUUGAGAAGUUGUUUUGAAAGCUUAAAGCUGUGUCAAAAAUGGUCAAUGGGCUUGUACCUCCAACUUUUCCACCUUAGAAAAGCCUUAGGAUUCAGAGAACCUUAUCUAUGAAUUAGGUGAAAAGGAAUGCCUUUCCCCUCUAACCAUUAUUAAAGCUAGCGAAGCAUAAGAAGAGUCCACGUUUUUCCCCCACAAGAAAGCUAAAAGUUAGCUCAAAAGCCUCAUAAGUCUCCUAGGAAAACUUAUUAUCUAUGAAUGGCAGCAUUUUUAAAAAUAGUUUUUUUCAGCUUAUUAUCUAUGAAUGGAGGCUUAAUGCAAAACUUUUCAAGAGUAUUUUGUUAUAUUUUCAAUUGAUUCUCAUAAUACUUAACAAAAAAAAGCCUUAAAACAUAUCAUAUUUGUUCUUAAAAAAUAACCAUUUUUCAAAAAAUUAUUCUUAGUAAAAAGUUUGUCAAACACUUUUUUAAAAUUGGAGUUAGGUUUUCUAUUUUGACAAAAAAAAUUAUUUUCAAAAACUGUUUCCAACCACUAAUUUAAUUUAAAAACUUUAAUUGUUAAAUGAUAUACCAACUACAUAUAUUGAAACCGUGCAAUGGGUUUGGGUGUUGUGGGUUGUAGGGUAGAGAGAAACAAAGAAAAAUGGAGAACAAAAAAAAAAGAGAGAGAAAUGGUGGAGCGGUAGAAAUGGAUUUUGGUGGGGAAAAUAGAAAAAGGAAGAGGAAUGAAGAAGAAGAGGGGAACCAGAUAUUGGAAGGGGGGAAAGGGUGUCUUAUGGGAUGGGUGGGGAAAAUAGAAAAAGGAAGAGGAAUGAAAAAAUGGAAGAAAGAAAAUGGGGGCGGUCGGUGUGUGCGUGUUGGGAGUUGUGGAGUGUGUGUGUUUGGGGAGAAGAAAAAUGGAGAAAAGAUUGGAAAAAAAAAAAAAAAAAAAAAGAGGAGCUGGAGUCGGUGGUCUGAGAAGUGGGGGAGGAGAGAGAAUGGGGAAGUGGGUGGAGUGGUAUAUCGAGAUUUGAAAAAUCUGUGGCAUUUUCUUGUAUUUUUGUGGCAUUCAUGAUCAAGAUGGAUCUAAACCAUUCAAGUGCCGUGUGCACAACUCCACCCAAAUACCGGCCAUUGAAGGCAACAUCUUCCUCCACUUGACGGGAGAAGUCAUAAACAUCUAGGAAAAAAAAAUCAAUGAUGUCAAUUCAUUUUCAUACAUUUCAUUUUUCAUCGACUCUCAUGGCUUCAUACUCAAAUCUUAUAUAUUAUCCAUCUAGUAUUAUUUCAUACAUUAAUUUAAUUUUAUAUAUUUAUAAUUUCGUUUAACAAUUCAAUUUUUUCCUAAAUGUCACGGGUAUAAAUUCAAAUUUUCAUUAUUAUAAAGUUUUCAUUUAAAUUUUUUUCAGGUGUCCUUUCUUCAGAAGGGCAAGAUCCUACUCCUACCCCAACCCAAAGAAGGUGGCAAAUUUACACCUCAACUCUCUUUGAAUCUUCUUCUCAACUAUAUCCUUUUAAAGAGUGGAACGUUUGUGUUCCUUAUUAAAGGGGCUUGUUCCGUGGCAGUCACCUAAGCCUCUCAGGAGUCUUUUCUGAUUUGGACGGACCAACCUUCACAGAAAUUAAAUGGUUGGGAGUUGGGAAUUGGGAUGGACCUAUUCUAAAGUCCAAGUCUCCAGGAGACUAGGACUUGGGUUGGGACUUCAGAUUUUUAUUUUUGAAGUGUUGGAGACUUUUAGCAUGUAGGGUGGUUUGUUGGAGGUAGUUAAUUUUUUCUUUUUCCUCUUCCAUCUUUAGUAGGGAGAAGAAAUAUGUGUAGAAGGAUGUCAUUGAAUUUAUAUUUGAUAAUUAUGUUUUAAAAUGCCUUUUUUCAAUUUAUAAGUAUAUAUAUUUUAAAAUUUUAAUUAAAUAGCAAUUUACUUUCAAUAGGGGCGGAGCCAAUACUGGCUCCGGGCGCACUGCCUCCCCUCAAAUUUUAUAAAUAAAAAAUUUCCUUUGCUAAUAUAGGAAUUUUAGAAAGUUAAAAAAAAAUAAAAAUAGAAAAGCAAGUUUGCCCCUUCUAAAAAACUAAUUUUAUACUUGAAAAAAGAAAAUAAAUGGAAUAAAAAAAAUUAGAGAAUCAUCAAUAUUAAAUAGAUUUUAUAAAAUAUUUGUUUGUUUGUAUUUUUAAUUUUAUUUAAUGUUAAUAAAAUUAAAUUUAUUUAAAUCCUAAUAUAUACAAAAUAAAUGGAACAAACUAUAUAUAUAUGGUUAUAGGCUAUAUUUUGUUUAAUUUUGAAAUUUUUUUAAUGUUUAUAGUCUAUUUGAUUGUCAGUUUUUUGUUUUCAAAUAUAAAAAGUUGUUUUUAAAAAUUUCUAACAUUGUUUUAUCAUUAUUAUUUGAAAAAAAUUUUUAAAAACAAAAUGAAAUAGAAAAAAAAUUUUAGAAAAUAAAUAGGAUUUGUUUUCAUCAAUUUUUAAAAACUAAAGGAAAAUAUGAGUCUAUUUGACCAUGUUUUCUGUAAUUUGUUUUUAAUAAUUGUUUUUCAUUCUUUUAACUUAAAAGUGGUUUUUAAAAAUAAAUUUUAAAAAACAUGAUCAGUCAGACUUUUAGGUUUAAUCAAGUAGUUGUUAAUUCAUGAAUAUGUACACAAUUAUUCAAAUAUAUGUUACUUCAUUGUUGAUGAAAUUUAAUUUUGUUUCAAUAUUUGAUAUUUUAUUAAACAUAUAUUUUUAUUGAUAGGUUAUUUUUAGUUUAAUUUAAAGAUUUUUAUACAUGUUUAGAUUUUUAGGUUAAAUAAAACAUUUAUUAAUUUAGAGUUGAUUACCUAAAUUUUAAUAAUGACAUUAUAAUUACAUUAUAGAUAACUUUUAAAUAAAAAAUUUAUCAUUUUAAAAAAUCCAAAAAGAAAGUAUUAGUUAAAUUAUUAAUUUUUUCCAAAAUUUCUCUAGCAAAAUAUUUCUAAAAAUUUUGGUCAAAUUUCUUACUAACUUUAAAAAAAAAAAAUUCACAAACACUAUUUGAAUUUUUUUGAUAAACUUUUAAUAAAAUCUAAGACUCUUUUUUCAAUGUUUUUAGUAUUUUUGUUAUUUAAUUUUUCAUAUUAUAAAUUCCUCUUUUCUUUUAUUGAAUCAUACCAAUGUUACCAUUUUUAAAAUAUGAAAAUUUAUUUAUAAUUAUUAUAAUAUUCAAAUUUUUUAUUCCCCUCACACCAAAAUUUCUGGCUCUACAACUACUUUCAAUAUAUCAUAUGAUGAAAAAUAUAGGCAAUGUUUGAGAAGAAUAGUUUUUUAGUUUAUCUAUAUAUAUAUAUAUAUAUAUAUAUAUGUGUGUGUGUGUGUGUGUGUGUAAAUGUAAAUAGUUCCCAAAAUAAAUUUUUGAGAAAAAAUGGAAAUUAUAUUUGCAUCCACCAAAUUGAUCUUUAUAUCCAUUCUAUUUACACAUCAACUUAUAAUUUUAAACAUUUUGCAAAAUAGACUCACAAAUUCCUUCAUGCCCUCAUACAAAAAAAGGUAUAGGUACAUAACUAAAUCAUCUCAAAAAAACAAUUCUAUGGUAACACUAUUAAAGUGAGUGAUGAACUAAUUGUAAAGAGAAUUCUUAGAUGUUGAUAUUGUUGUCAACAAUAUUGACACAAUUAUGUUUAUGUCUAGGAUGUAAUGAAAUUGGUCGUUUGAAUGUUUUUCUAUUAUGCUCAUAAUCAUCACAUUUAUCACUACAUUAUGUGCGUUUAACCUUUUCAUCCGAACAAAUUCUUUCAUUUUUUUAUCUUCUUACUAGUUGCUGACUUUUAGGUGAUAAUACAACUCUAUAAAAAAAUGUAUUUUUAGGAAUUACCCAAUCUUUGUUAUUUCUAGUAGAAUAUAUAGAUUUUGAAUAUGAAGAUAUAAGUGAGUUCAUAUAGUAUUGAGAGCACAUAAUAUAGCACGACUUGUUUCCGUACCUACAUGUAGCAAUCGUAUGUGUACAUGAAAUAUGGUCAAGAUCAAACAUCCUACAUGUGCAUUAACGGGUCUGCAAAUUAACUUUAUCACUUAUCCCAACAUAUUUGAUAUUGAACUCCCAAAAGUUGAUAGAGUCAACAUCAUAACUUGAUAAUUUAUUAAACCUUAAGUACAACUUCAAGUUAACCCAUGUGGUAAAGCUUAAUUUUCAUUAACAAUGCUUGUUGUUGGCGAUUUGAAAACCAUCUCUGAAGUAAGUUUCUCAACUCUUUGACCAUUCUUAUAACUGAAAGAUCUCUUACAUCUUUUAAUACAACAUUCAUGCACUCAACAAUUUUGUAGUUAUGAUAUUUAAGAAAACAAAGGUUAUGUUUAGUUAAGAAAAACACCCAAAAGGAGGGGAGGGGAGGGGAGGGGGGGGGGGGGGUGAAUUGGGUUUUUAAAAUCUUUUCAAUCACAACAAAAUUAAACAAAAGAUAAGCAAAGUAAAGAGAUAGAGUUGAGAGAAUUCAAUCUCGGGUUUAUAGUGGUUCGAAAAUUCCUUGCCUACAUCCACUCUCCUCAACCUCCUAACCGAGUGAGGGUUCCACUAACUUGAAGCUUCAACUAAGCUUCCAAUCUUCUUACACUUGGAUUCCGGCUCCAAUGGGCUCUUACACAACCUCUUCAAGAUUCAACCCUCUUGAAGGCUUUAACACUCGGAUUGUUAUAAGAUAUAAUCACUCAACCUAGCUUAAAGAUGACUCAAAUACAAGACAAGGCUAGGAUGAUAAACAAGAGUGCACUAAAGGAUAUGUAAGUGGUGAUUUAAUGCACAAUGAAGGAAAUAAUAGCUUUUUGAUCAAGAACAGGUAGGUAGGCUUUGAAUGCAAUUGUUCUCUUGUCAAUAAAUGAAGUGGAACUCUCAAUUUAUAGGUUUCUAAGCUCGAGAGUCAAAAUCAGCAAAAGGCAACCUCGUCCGAUCGAGAUAGGGGUCGACCGGUUCACUAGUCGUUGGAGCAUUUAAUUCAUGACAGGUUACCAUUGCCUCAAUCAGACCUCGACCGGUAAAUGAAUCACCUCGACCGGGAAGAAAAGGCUACUGGGAGAAAGAGAAGGUUUUUUAACCUUCCUCGACCGGUCCUCGAUCGGACGACCUCAACCGGUCGACCGGUUGAUCCUUUUUAGCCCCGAAAAACCUAUUUUUUGAUUCAUUUCUUUUCUAACACUUAGACAAGGUCUUUAGGUAAAUUAUUAAGCCAAUUUUGAAACAUUUAGCCUAAGGUAAAUUAGUUAAAAACUCGGGUUUUAAUGAAAUCAACAUUUUAAAUAAUAAACCGAGUUUUCUAAGAUGCAUGAAAACAUAUGAAAAUCCUAAGUGCACUCAUGCAUUCAUCUUACAUUAGUUUCCUAUGAUCUCAAGUCUUCCAAGCAUCUUGAUCUUGUAUCCAUUUGGUCAUUUGAUGAAUUUUCGAGUUUAUACUUGUGAUUCUUAAAUAUUAAACCAAUUAGUUACUUAACCAUAGUUUGUUAUCAUCAAAACCCGAUUAAGAGAACCUUUGGGCUAACAAUAUUAUAUCUUUUGCCAUUAUUAUGUAACCGAGCCUAUUGCUUAAUUCCUACAUCCGCUAAAUAAAUCGAUUUCUCUAAUUUUCCAUGCAUGUGAUUUAUUACUUAUUAUUAUUUGACCUUGUCAUAUGGAUAAAACUUUUCAACUUCUUUUGAAUUAACUUUUCACUUUUUCACAUUUUAAAACUUAUUUUUUCAUAACUAACAAUGAAUUUUUUUUUACCAACAAUGGUGACUAAAAAGAAAUAAAAUGAUAAUAUAAAAAAAAUAUUGGCUGCUUACAUUUUUAACAUCUUUCGUGACUAAAAAUAAAGAGUAGAUGAAAUAAUAGUGAAAAUUUAGGCUUUUUCUUCUGGACACAAAAAAAAAAAAGAGCAAAUAGAUGAUCAAAUAAAAAAAUAAAAAGCUAAUCUACUAUAAAAUGGAGGUAACGAGAAAAUGAUGUUGAAGGGAAAAAAAUUGGGUAUUUUUGUCCUAAUUGGAUAAUUUUUUCUACUUUUUGAGGGAUAAAUUAUUUUUUUAAAUAUGAGAGUUAUUUUAAUCCCUUUUAACCAAAUAACCCAAAUUUUAAACGGUUAGAAAAGGUAUUGAGAAGUUGUUUUGAAAGCUUAAAGCUGUGUCAAAAAUGGUCAAUGGGCUUGUACCUCCAACUUUUCCACCUUAGAAAGCCUUAGGAUUCAGAGAACCUUAUCUAUGAAUUAGGUGAAAAGGAAUGCCUCUCCCCUCUAACCAUUAUUAAAGCUAGCGAAGCAUAAGAAGAGUCCACGUUUUUCCCCCACAAGAAAGCUAAAAGUUAGCUCAAAAGCCUCAUAAGUCUCCUAGGAAAACUUAUUAUCUAUGAAUGACAGCAUUUUUAAAAAUAGUUUUUUUCAGCUUAUUAUCUAUGAAUGGAGGCUUAAUGCAAAACUUUUCAAGAGUAUUUUGUUAUAUUUUCAAUUGAUUCUCAUAACACUUAACAAAAAAAAGCCUAAAAACAUAUCAUAUUUGUUCUUAAAAAAGAACCAUUUUUCAAAAAAUUAUUCUUAGUAAAAAGUUUGUCAAACACUUUUUUAAAAUUGGAGUUAGGUUUUCUAUUUUGACAAAAAAAAUUAUUUUCAAAAACUGUUUCCAACCACUAAUUUAAUUUAAAAACUUUAAUUGUUAAAUGAUAUACCAACUACAUAUAUUAAGUUGAUUUUUUGCUAAAAACCCUAACACCAAACUUAUCAGGCAACCGCUAUUUUCUGAACUAAUUUAAUUUAAAAGCUUAAAUUGUUAGAUAAUUAGCCAUAUGUAUCAAGCCUACCCAUGCUAAAAGCCCUAACAACAUCAAACUCAAAACUUGAUGCCAGAGGUCUUCAUACUUCAACUUCAGCCUGAUUACUCAACAUACAGAGGCCACCAUCCUCACAAAGAAAAUGAAACUAAGCAGAACAACAAGCAUACAAUUAAUCUACCGCCCAGAUGCUAAGGAUCCAACAGACAUCACUCCAUAGGAUGAUGGGUGUGAGUCAGUUUUGGAGUCCAAUGAGCCCACAAAGAAACCUAAACUUGAAGCAUCAACCUCGGGGAGUGGGUCGAAGCCACUGAGAUAUCUUGUAACCUGCUGCAUAUUAGGCCUAGCCUGUGGCUCUGGGUGAGAACAGAGGAGGCCAACCUUCAAAACCAAUUCAAUCUCCUCCUUCACAUAUGAAUUCCCAAGCUUUGGAUCUGCAGCUUCAAGUAUAUGACCCCUCUGAUGACACUGUGUCACCCAAUCUUGUAGAAUCAUCUGUUUCCCGGACGAGGCAUUGGGGUCUAGAGGCCUCCUCCCACAUGCCACUUCUAGUAGUACUGCCCCAAAGGCGAAUACAUCGGAGCUUGCGGUGGCCUUUCCAGUGAGGGAGAGCUCCGGUGCUAUGUACCCCACUGUGCCCACCACAUGGGUGGUGCUGGGGUUCUUCCCAUGCUCAUAUAGUUUGGCCAGGCCGAAGUCUCCUAGCCGGGCAUUCAUAUUUGAGUCAAGCAGGACAUUGUUGGCCUUCACAUCCCUAUGGACAACUACCUGUUCCCAUUCUUCAUGUAAAUAUAGGAGGCCUGCAGCAAUCUCCUUGAGGAUCCUGAACCUCUGUCCCCAAUCAAGGUUCUUGUCUUCUUGAAACAGGAAGGUGUCCAGGCUGCCAUUGGACAUAUAAUCAUAAACAAGAAGGAGAUCGCCUUUUCGCUUACACCAACCUUGGAGAUGAACCAAGUGCCUGUGCCUCAGCUUGCCUAGGCUUGCAAUCUCUGCAACAAACUCCUUCACUCCCUGCUUGGAAUUGUGGGAAAUUCUCUUUACAGCAACUUCUUCUCUAGUCUUUGGCAGCACCCCCUUGUAGACGGAACCGAACCCACCUUUGCCCAGAAUCUGGCUCUCCUUGAAGCCCUUUGUGGCAAUAUAAAGGUCUUUGUAUCUAAACCUAUGGGGGAAGUCCAAUUCCCAAUCUUCCAGGACCUCAGCUAGCCUUGCCCUUCUUAGCAUAUACACAGAAAUGGCGAUUCCACACAGAAGCAACGCAAGGGUCACCAUUGCUGACGCUGCUCCAAUCUCAAUCCCUCUUCUCCCAAGGCCUGGAGAUGGGGUUCCAUUUCUUGGGGGAGAAGGGAUUUUAGAGAGAUCAAGAGGGUCUGCUUCUGUACUACCCAUCUUCAAACUCCACCCCAGAAUGUAAUGAGAGCUAGCAAGCUUCUCAGUGGCAGCUGAGAAGCCAACAUACAUGGACUCUUUAAAGAUAGGGGAUAAGUCCAUGGCUAGAGACAAGAGGGGUUUGCUUGGUUUAGGAAGAGAAGCAGGGGAAAUGGUGACAUUGACGAUUUUUUGAGCUCCAUCAUACUCGAUCCAAGCUUGGAUUGGAUUCCCACUCUCCAAAACCACUUCAUGAGAGGAUUUGGAGGAGUGAUCAUAGUAUGAAGCUGGCUUAGAAGCAUUAGACCUAACAGUAUUGAUGUCUAUACCAACAUGGUUAUCAUCGAUAUCUCCAUACAUAACCAGGGAUUGAACUGUAUCAAACUCAACCGCAAACAAAUGGUUGGAGAAGUUCCCCAUGGUGACCUCAUUAAAAAGACCAAAAAGAUUACCAAGUCCACCAUCUGAAAGGUUCUUGGUGGGAGAAACAGUGAAGACAAAACCAUGCCCACCAGACCCACCAGCAAACCUGGGGACAAUGGCAAAAACGAAGGUUGUGGCAAAGGAGGAAGCUGUGGUGGGGUGUUGGGAAUCAUGGCUGUUCUUGUUGAGAAAGUGAAAUGGGGUGUUGUAGAAGGCAUGGCCAGUGAGGUUGUGUGAUGAGUUUGUAAGCCUGAGAGCCCCAUUUGGCGUGAUGAGGGAAGCCCCACCAAGGCUUAAGUUGGAUGCAGAAGCUUUGAAGCCAUUGAAGACGAAGCCAUAAUCAGACUGAGAGUAAGCUUGAUUAAGGAGGAGCAGAGAGAAGAGGGGAAAGAGGAGAGUUUUUGCCAUUUCAGAUGGGUUUUUCUGAAGGGUAGAACCGUAGAAGACAUAUUUGUAGGCAAAUGUGAGAGGCAUACACGUCGUAUUCAGUUUCCUGUGGAGUUGUGGACAAAUGUCUAUCUCUUCGUACCAUAUUCAAAUCAGUAGACCCACUUCAAUUUAAUUUGCUUAGGUUGCUAGGGUUAAAGUGGCCGAUUUACAAGGUAAAGCAAAAUUUCUAGAAGAAAAAGAUGUUCUUUGAUUCAAAAUUUUCAAAUAACAGGCAUUUGUGUUGAUGGUGUGAAAUUAGCCUUCAAGAAUUUGUGCAGAGAUGAUGAUCUGCAUGCAGAAUAAUUUUGUGCAAGAGCAAAGAUUUCACACCAUCAAUAUUAUGAAUAGAAUGUAAUAUAAAUAGAAUGUAAUAAAAUCUCAUCUUAUUUUAGAAAAAAUAUUAUGAAUACCUAACUGUGUGGUACCACACAUUAGACAUAUAAAAUAGAAAUAUUGUUGAAAUAAUAAUUGGACAGGAAAUUUUCAAAUUUGGGAAAAACUAGGAAUUAUUAUUUAUUUAGGUUUUUUUUUAUGUUAAUUAAGAAUUUUAGUCUAAUAUAAAUAGAAUGUAAUAAAAUAUUAUUUUUAACAAAAAUAUUAUGAAUACUAGAUUAUGUGUGGCACCACAUUACUAGACAUAUAAAAUAAAAAUAUUAUUGAAAUUAUAAUCCAACCUAAAAUCAAAUUAAAAAAACUUUAAAAUUUUGAAAAAAAAAUAUUAAAUUUAUUUAUUUAUUUGGGUUUCUUAUGUUAAUUUGAAAUUUUAUUAUAAUAUAAGUAAUAAAAUAUUAUGAAUACCGAACCGUGAUUCCAACAAAUAUAUCUGCAAUUUGUGAAUGUGAAGGGACCGGUGAAAUUAAGUGGAAGUGAGAAAGUAACCUUAUUAUCCGAACCUCUAUUUCAUGAAUCCUAAGUGAACGCCUUUUAUACUUUGCAUGGGAUGGCAUAUUCAUUUGUCAAAAUAGAAUCAUGAUUAUCCUCGAAAAAAUUGAGUAGCGGCAACAUUUGACACUAGCAAUGGAAACAUAAUAAUAUCUUGCAUGAAAAUGGUAUUAUCAAAUCAAAAUCCAUCCCACUGAAAUUUAAAUAUCUGCUAUUUAAAAAGAAUAAUAAAUAAGACCAUGAUACAAAAUAAUAGAACUAAAGUGACAUAUAAGAUAUAGUAAUGAGAAUGAAAUAUAAAAUAGUAAGACUUAAUUAAACCCGUGACACUGCCUCAUUUAUCAUGGUUUAUCAUGUUUUGCCAAAAUAUUUAACUUUUUCUAUUCAGCUAAAAAUAACCUAUUGAUAUCAUCCCAUAUAACUAAAGUGAAUUUAUUAAUAACAAAUUCAUUUUAAUUAUGUUAGACGAUGUCAAUAAGUUACUUUUACCUUAAUAAAAAAAACCAAAUAUUUAUUUGACUUUUUCUAUUCAACCAAAAAACAAAUACCACCUUAAUAACUCUCAUCAAUUAUGCAAAUUCUAAGUGGUUCUUAUGGAGUUCACUUGUGAACGCAAAAGAUUAGGGCAUUGAGACCUCCAAUUGACAAUACUUACCCUCAUAAAUGAUCCCUCAUAGCGUUUUUCCUGAUGCUGAUGCUGAUACUGUAUUGUGAAGUGAGUUGUUUGCAAAUUACAAUAAUUGAUUUCUAAUAUGUGUCCCACCCACAAAGCAGAAAGCAAUACCUGUUCUUGCUCUUAGUGUUUAGUUCAAAUCUUUUCUUGAAAAUUUAAAUCCUUACAAAAAGGGAUUCAAGCACCAGGAUAUCAAAAUAAGCAACAGGAGAGGCUCCACUCAUCUUAUACAGGGUUGUUAAAAAGAGAGGAAUAACACGAGUGAUUUACUAUUCAACAUACAUUAUUAUCCUAUGAAAGUCAUAAAUGACAAUGUAUACAAAGUAUGGACAAUCAGAACUCCAUAAAUUCACUUCAUCACCAUGCUUUGCUGCUUAGAAAUCAAAGGGCAGAGAUAAAUAUUCUUUCACAGAAGUGAAAUCAUGUCAAAUAGAUUGAAAAGGUAACCAUUAUUAGUACUUGUUUACGAUGCUCUGCAUUUUUUUUCCAUUCAAAACCUCAAGGUUGCUGCUCAUCAUCAUGUAUGAUGAGAAUAGAGAUGGAAACUUCGCCUUCAUUGCUCUUUUCCUUCCAUCAUCUAAUCGUCGGCUUAUGGAAAACAAAUUCCCAUUUCUCACUUCCCAAUCAGCAUCUUUAGGCCUAUAUUGUUAUUGAUGUCAAACGCCAUUCCUCCAUGGCAUAUAUAGUUCGAAACCCAUGCUUCCUUUGAGGUCACUUCUCCAAAGCAAUCAAUCACCUUCUCAAACUUUGCCCAUUCACCCAAAAUUAGAUCAGAAUAAAACAGAUGGUUGCUUUCCCAACCACUUUUGCCCAGAUAACCCUAAAAAAAUUCCAAACAGAAUAGGUAGUUCGCCCUUUUCCUAAUCAAGGCAUUCACUGACUUUAGAUUUGGAAAACUUCACAAAAAGUGAUCAGCAUAUAUACUCAUGCCACUCAAUCCCAGAGAAAACGAACCAUUCUUCCAUUCCAAAAUAAUCUAACUGGUCUCUCCUGCACCCACAAGCUUUCUACAAGCCCUCAUUCCCUCAGUCCCUCUAGCCAGAUCAAAGACAAUAAUGCAUGAAAAUUCCAAAGGAUGCAACCCCAUUGGGGUAGAUUUGAAACUGACCUUCAACGCAAACUUUCUAAUCACUAUAGCCUUAUAAAAGUGUUCCCUCCUGCAAGAAAGCAAAUGUAACCUUUGGUGGAAGAAACUGAUCUUCAUGGGUCUCCAUUUUUCUUGUGGGUCCAUUAUGAAAUGGGCAUUUUGGUACAAGGGCAGUUGGCUUCAACAUACACACAACUAAAAAAAAAUUGAAAUAAGACAAUUUCUAUAAUUGCAGUUUAGAAAAUAUUUUGGCCUUUCACCAUAUUCAUUUUCUGUGGCAAUUGGCCUGUACCGAAUAAAUUUCACCCAAUAAUGAAAUUUUAGAAAUAAAAAUUACAAGGGAUUUGGAAUUUUUUUUCCUUCUCCCUUCUUCUCUUGUCAAAUACACUGCUAAACUAAUAAAAAGAAAAGAAAAAUAAUUUUUUAGGUUUUUGGGGGUUAUGAUUUGGUGUAUCAGAGGUGUACAUACGAACAAGAAGGGCACCUGAUCAGACCGUUCUCGUUGCACGCCGUGCAGAUCCUGAAACCAGUCUUCUCACUAUACACCUUACGGCUUCCAUCGCAGUUCUCACAGAGCAUGAACCUAUACCCUCCGCACUCGUCGCAUACGCCGGCAGCCACGGGGAACCCUCCGAGCAGCUUCUUCAGCUCGCCCGUCUCGUGCAACUGCCUGAUCUCUUCCGCUCCGCCCACGUACCUGCCACCAAUGAAAACCCUAGGCAAACUCAGCUUCUUCCUCCCCAAAAUCCCCUUCAACUCGUCCAAAAACCCAGCGUCCAUAGACAGAUCUCGCUCAUCGACCUUCACCCGAAACCCCCGCAAGAUCGAUCGCACGGUGCUGCAGUCCUCGAAGGUCUUGCGCACCACGCGUAGGCUCGUGAAGUAAACCACCACGCUCUGGUCGCCGCCGGUAAGAGACACACACGGCUGCGGCGGCGCAGGCUCCGGUUUCGGAUUCGGUUCCGGGUUGGUUUGGGUUGAGGACCAGUUUCGCAGGACCGAGGUCACAACCCGAACCCGGUGGAAAAUGGAGGGUCUCUUGAGAUUGGAAGAACAGUGAUUUUCCUCUUUACAGAGGCUUUGAAUGUCUUUGAACGAUGAACAAGUGAAGUUCUUAUAUGAAGCUGGUGCGGUUUGGACCCCACCCGACGAGCUCACCCACGAUCGCCACAUGAAUGGAGAGCGAGGACAGAGAGAGAGAGACGGAGACAAAGAGAGAUAGUCGCUGAGUAUCGGAUUUUAUAGAAGAGAGGGGUGGGGGUGGGGGUGGGGGUGGGGGUGGGCGCGGGAGAGGAGAAGGUGGGCUGUUUGGUUACGGUUGUUAAUGAAAGGGAGGUUGGGUUUUUCGAGCUGUGAAGGAAAGGUGUGACGCGUGAGAUAUGGAGUAAGGGAGUCAAGCUGUAAUCCUCUGAUUUUCUCUCGUAUGUCUGCUUGGUUGGUGGGAAAAUGGGUAUUGUGGUAUGUUUGUUAUGUCGCUAUGAUUGUGAUCUACACUGGGAUCCACAUUUGUUAGGAGAGAUUGUCGUAAUUAGGGGUGUAUUUUUUUUUAGUAAUGUUGAGUGGUUACGUUUUGUUAGCGAAACGGAUUUGGUAAUGUCAUUACAUAUUGACAUUAUUAUGAGGCGGCGCCCAUAUUAUUAAAGUAAAAGCAAAGAAUAAUGGUUACAAUUUUAUUUUUUUUGAACUACUAAUAAAAAAACCGUCUAAAAAGUAAAAACAGUUACUAACAUAUUUUCUUUGUUAUAUAUUUAUUUUUUCCUUUUUUGACUCAUUUUUUGAUGUCUAUCUAACAACGGCACGUAAGAAAAUUAAUUAAGGAGGAGAAAAAGGGAUUUUCCAUGGAAUUGAGAGGAGAUGAGUUGGAUGGAGGGCACGUGACAUGAAGUGAGGAGUGGAAUUAAAGGGGUACUUGAGAUUGUGAUCUGAAAAAGAAAGGGGGGCUUCAACUGCUAAGGAUAAUGCGGAGAGCAGCCUUUUAAGACGGGAGAGUGGAAGCAUGUGGAGACACCUAAGGAAUCAUUAUUCUAUGAGAGAUGCAUGUGGAUUGUGGAACAGUGAGUUGUGGAAGAGUGCGCAACAAGGGUGUCCUACACUCCUACCAUAUCUCCAUUUAUUUCCAUUAUGGUUGUAAGUGGGUGCAAGCGAGAAUCGAAUAUCGAUCGAAAUUCAAACCAAUACAGUUUAAUCAAAAUCCAUAGAUUAUAAUGGUGGAUUUGAUUUAAAAAAAAAUUAAAUUAAUUUUUAUGGGUUGAAUUUUUAAUUUAAUUUUCUUAAAAAUAGAGAGAAACUAAUAUUCUAAGAACCUAUUUGGGAAAUUACAUUUGACAUUUUUUUGGAUAGAAAAUAUUUUUUUUUUAAACUUGUUUUAAAAGUAAAGUGAUUAUUAGGAAAGUAUUUUAAUUAAUUUAUUUAUUUUAAGAAAUAAUUGUAGAAAUAUACAUAACAUUAAAAAUAAAGUUUUAUGAAUAAAAAUUAUUUUUAAGAUAUAUUUAAAAAGCAUAAAAAAAUCACUAUUUCUAAACAUAUUUUUAUUCUCAAAAACUAUUUUUUGAGAUUAUUUUCAAAUUAGUUCCCUAAGUCCUUAAGACUUCCAUGGAUAUUCAAUAUUCAAGUUUGAUACUCAACCCAUCUAUUUUUAAUGAAUAUAAUUAGAUUUCUAGACAAAAAUGAUCAGGUUUGUUAGGAUUCGAAGGGUUCAAAUGAAUCAAAUCUCAUCAUAUUCAUUCUAUUUUUGAAUUCUUUUCGAAGGCCUUAAGGCUUGGGCCGGGUCAGCCCAUGCCUAACCCUAGAAAGAUGCGGGGCCAGGUCAAGCAUCAGCCUAAACUUUUUUGGGUGAGCUUGGACCGAGUCACUGACAGACCUAACUUACACGCCUAGGCAUAGCCCUAUACUUUCAAUGGAAUUUCAACCUUUUGGGAGCAUUGGGGUUGUGUAAAGUCUAAUCACUAAACCAAGUCUUGUUAGAUUUCCAUUGAUAAACAUACUUAUAUUUGUUAACAACAUUAAUCAAGAAAAGCACCUCUAAUAUGAAUGAGAGAAAGAGAAAGAUUGCAGAGGAUUGAGUUCCAAAUUUCUCAUUAGCCAGUAGCCCUUGGUAUUCAAAAUGAUGGAGAGAACACAAAUAUCUGACCCUAAUAUUAUAGUCCUAAUUACAUUAAAAAAAAAAAAGUGGGAACUCUAAUAAUCUUGAAUAAUUUUCAUACCCUAAGAAGAGAGGAGCAGCCUCCUCAUUCUUUUUUGUUUUUCUACUAAUGUCCUAAGCUAAUGCUAUCUGGGCCAAAAACUUUCGUCUCUGGUGCAAAAAGGAGAGGCACUUAAAAGAAAACUAUGAAGUUGAGGUUCUCAUGCUCACCUUGAUUACAUCUUUGCUCCUCUUGAGAUGAGAAUGUCCCCGUAAGGCUCGUUUUGUUCAACUUUUAUGAAACCACGAGUAGCAAGAACUGCACAUAAAGCAUCCAGUUAUCAUUGUUGCUAAUCAGUUGGAAGUUGUUAGAAGAAGAGAUCUUAUUGUAAAGUUUGGAAAAUGCUACUACGGUUAAACAAGUAUAUAUGGGUGGAUACCACAAGUCUGAUAGAAGAGUUGAGCAGCUCUUGGUCUGUCCAUUCCGGAAGCAAGCUGGUCCAGGGAUUCUCUUUGGGGCGCUCCGGGUGUGUCAAAAUGUGUCUUCAGAUGCCUUUAAGAAGUAGCAUUUAGUCGAUUACUUAAUUCAAUUGAAUGAUAUUUUUGAACUCAGGAAUUCAACGUAUCCCAAAAGAGAAUAUUACAUUCGGAUUGAAUCCGUGAUCUUUUCAAUUGGGGGAGGGAUGAUUGGAUUUUGAGUCUGUGUUGGCCCCGUUUCCACCAACAGUUCUGGAAAACAAAAGGCAAUCGAUCAAACACUGAUAAUGGACAAGCAAAUUAAACUAGCCUGGUAAGAGGAAAGGAUUGGAGUACUUACCAUGCUCAGAUAGUUUUGACAACUUGAAAUUUGGAUCAGUAUGGUUAAAUGGAUGCUCCUCAUCCACUGGUUCAAGGCUACUCCCACUGUGUCUAGACCAAGAAUAAGGCCUUUUUUUGUUGAUUCUGUAACAAGCACUGAUGCAUAAUAAAUUUUUUACUAUAUGAAGCAUAAAAUGUAACUGAUUCACAUGCCAAGAACUAUGGGUUGUUUCUCAAUCUCCAAAAGAAAAUUUUCAAUGCAUUUUUUUUCUUCACUUUGAAUAGAUUUGAUGAUAUAUGUACUAACCUUCCUGAAUUUACUUCCGAAGUAUGAGAUGGGGAACCAUGUCCAGAUGCUGAGCCAGGGAAGGAUCUUACUUCAUUUACAGUGGCUCCACCUGAAGCAAAAACUAAGUUAUUGAAGGUUUUGAUUGUUAUCAAAUGAAACCUCAAGGUUUCACUCCAGCAUACCAGAAUUCCCAGGUGUGAAGACAGCCUCAGUUGUCCUUGCAUUAUCGUUCAUAAGCUUAGUUCUUAGUGAGGUCAUGAGGAUUUCAAAUUGUGAUUCAUUGUUGUCAUGAUUCGUGCCUCUUUGCUUCUCUAUGGAAACUCCCAGUGAUGGGGAACCAACUCCACUAAGAAAAUCUUCAAAAGGCUUCAUAUUCAAACAAUUAAUGAGACAGACUAAUAUGUUUUUUCCUUUAAGAUGUUAAACUAAAAGGUUUAGCAGAGUAGCUUACAAAUCCUGCAGGGCCUUGAUGAUGAACUCUGUGUGAUGGUGAUGAUGAUGAGGGUUCUGGUGGCUGAGGCGGGGUGUUCCUUCCUACACACAGCACAGAAUGUAUGGCUUCAUCUAAAUCCUAUGCAAAACAGAUAAUCUCAAAAAACAGUGAUUAAUUCUCACCAGAAGGUGAAUCAUGGGGGAGUUGGAUACUUCUCAUCCAUAGCUCUAGAAGAGGUGCUGGAUAUUGGAUUUCUCCAGUUCCACUUGUUAAUAUUCCAUCAAUAAGCGUUGAAGGCGGCAGCUCCAUAAGGUUGGCUAUCUUUACUAUAGGCAUAAGGUUCUGCAGAAUGUAUUAUGAAAUAAUAGAAAAUUGUUUUCUUAAAUACAUAAAUAAAUAUCUUACUUUUCUUACAAUUUUUGAAACUUUUCCAUGGUUCAAAGUAAUAUCCAGGUAUUAAAAAACUUGGACUAGAAUUAACAUAUAGAAAGGGAUAAACUGAAACAUACCUUUCUCCUUUUUCCUCUUCUUGCGACAAUAUUCGAAGGAUCCUGAAGCCAUGACUGGUAUAGAUUACCAGGAAUGAUGAUUUGUUCAUCAUCCAUGACAAAGGCUGCUGGCCUUCUGCCUCUCUUUCUUAUUAUCCCUUGUCUCGGUUGAUCCUGCUCAGACUGUUAUGCUCCAUCCAUAUAUUCUAUGUUGGUUAGUGUAAUUUUAUACAGUUUCCCUCUGUUUUGUGCACAUGAAGUUACAAUAGUUACAGAUGGUUGACUUGCUCUACCUGAUUAACUUCCUUGUGCUCAUCAGGUUGCUGAUUAACCUGGUUUUCUGGAUGCAGGUCUUGGAUUUCAUCAGCAGGAUCACCUAGAGUAUAGCAUGUGUACUUAGUUCAAUAAUUUCGUAUAUUAACUCACAUUUCUUUAUAAGAUACACUACGAAGUUGCACAUGGCCAAACAUCAAUAUUGGUUUUUGACACCAUUUCUAGAUUUGGAAUUAUUUUUCAAUUUAUUGAUUAAAAAUAUACAAAUGCUUUAUCUCUUCUUAUAUUUUACUUCCAAAUUUUUUUUCUUAGCAGCUAAUAAAACCUAAGUGUUGGGCUUGUGGAAGACUGGGAGAUACAAUCUAAAACGUUCUUGCCAUGAUUUUCUUUCUCCAAGAUAUAUUGAUUUUUCUUUUCCUGAAUUUUAUUUCCAUUGGAUUAUACGGUUUUAAGGCAUCAUCAAUGAUAUUCAAUACUCAUGCUUUAGCAAUUAAGUUGUACCUUAAGGGUUAGUACAAGGUACUCUUAUACUUCACUUUUCAAGUUGAAAAUGCCAGCUUAAGGGUAAUCCCCGUAUUCAGAAUCUAAAAUGCUUGUUUUUGCCUUCCUUUCCCUUUUGGUUCUGCAAGAUCUAAAUAUUUAACUUUUCUCCAAAGGGGAUAUCCAUACCUGUUGCUUUAGUCCAGUACACCUAUAUCCCCUUCUAGUUUUUAACUUUAACCAGUUAACAUAUUAUCAUGUCGUUGAGUCAUUAUCUAUUCUAAUGAUACAUAUUCUAACUCUUAGGGUCCAUUUAGGAAUGAGAAUAGGAUUAAGAAUGGAAGUGAAUUAUAAUACUAAAUGGAAAGAGAUGAAUCAAAAUUUUGACAAGACUGGAUUUUUGUUUCAACGAGAAUGAAUUUUUGAAUGGGAAAUGGAAUGAGUUUCUCAUUCUUUUUCCCUGUUCCAACAUUCUUAACAUGCCCUAGUGAUCCAGGCUUUCCUAGAUAACAAAUCAAUCUGGAGAUAUGUGCAGACAAACAAUUCUUCAACUUUGCAGAGCUUGUAGGUGUUAAAAACAUUUUUGUUGCUAACCUUUUUGAUGCUCAUUUUGAUGGGAUGGAGAUGGUAUAAGAGUACUUGGGAUCUGUUCUGCUGGAGUGAAGUUCAACUGGAUCUCCCCAUCUUCCUCGAACCUACAUACCCAACAAUCCACAAACAGUAACAUAGCUUAAGAAACCUAAUCAUCAAAAUUCUGAUUCUACCUCCAACAAUAACUCAAGAUGUGUAAUAAACUUCUACUCAGAAUCUACAUAAAUCUGAAUAUACAAGAAAAACUGUAGCAAACUUGAAAGUUGCAUCAUGGUUAAGAUUACCUUUCAUCACGAUUAUUGAGAUUAGUAUCAGCCUGAUACGAAUUAAAAGGUUCCCAUAAAGUGAUAUUAUCAGCGUCAGCUGAAAGAAACAGUAGCACAUUACAUGCUUAUAAUACUUCCAAAAGGAAGUUGGAAAUUAAAAGAAUGCACAAACUGAAUCAUGCAAACCUGUACUAAUUCACAACUAGAGAGUAGGUAAAAAGUGAAUAGAAAACCUUGAUGGUUGUCUUGCAAUACAUCUUCUCCUCCUGUGUUCCCAGUAAUGUAGGUUUCAUCCACGUUGUCCAGACACUGUCAAAGUAUAAAAUUUAGCCACCAAUAAUCCUUCCAAUUUUUCAACUGUGAUCUCUACAUUAUAUAUGGUCAUCAUUCAAGAUUGUAAGUAUUUUCCUUUUUCCUCCCAAAUUUGUGGUGUUGGGUUUUUUUUUUUUCUCUAAUUCUUUGGUCAUGGAUACUCAAGGAGCAUAAACUAAAACUUUUUGGCACAAAAUAUGGGUUUGAUUCAGGUUUUCAGCGCAAUGAUAACAUUUUAAAGCUGAGUUUGGGAAUAAUUGGUUAGAAUUUUGGAUUAUGAACAAUUUUUUAACUAAAUAAUGUAAGUUUUGUCAAAUGCAAUUGCUGCUAAACUUUAACUUCAUCUAAACUUCUAAGGGAAGCCAUGGAUAGGCCUGUAGACAAGUCAGGCUGAGUCCCGAAUCAUCCGAUCCUUGUGAAAUUCCCAAUUCAAGCUGGGCAUCUAGUCCAAAUUUUACAAUGUUUGAUUUAGGGCUUCAAAUCUCUUAGAUAAUAAAUUUGGAAGUAUUCCUUUAGGGAAUUUCGCGCGCAGUCUUAAGAGUCUGUUUUUUUCGCGGAUUUCAAUACUUGGAAUGGUCUUAUAGCCCAGAAUUGGAGAGGCUUCGGCCCAAAAUCUGGAGAAGGCCCAGACUGGGUUUGGGGCCGAUUUGCCAAUUUUACACUGCCAUGGUGAAUGAGGUACUCAUUUCACACCAAGAUGAGAACGAUCCACGACCGUUCACACCCAAACAGAUGGGAUCCAACGGCAAGGUAGAGCCUAUCCUCAUAUAACAAUUUUUAACAAAAAAAUGCCAGAGUGACUCAAAUGCCCCUAACGGGCUUCAUAAAAUUAGAAGAUGUGAAAAGAUUCAGAGAGGCAUUCUGGUCCAUGCAAAUAUUACCACGCAAAUGUAGGCGCCUUGUGGUUGAAGCCCCAUGACGGUGGUGGCUGUGUUGGAGAAGUUGAGGAACCGCUCAAUCUCUGGAGCGUCUCCUUCUUCAUUAUCAGGCAGCGUAACGGCUUCAUAUCUACAAAAUCAAAUCAAAUCAAAUCAAAGCAGCGUAAAUUGGCAUUCCUACCCUUUCCACUGAGGAAGAAGAAGAAGAUAGAAGCUAUGACUCACUUGGCUUGAGAUUUUCGCUUUGGGAGGUCUGUGGAAUGUGAACCUGCUCCUGCUUUUACUUUCCAAGCUUCGUUCAGUUCCACCUGAAGAUAUCCGAUCUCCAAACAAUGCAUCAACUAUAUAAUAACGCUAUUUAUAAAAGUGAAAUUGAAAGUAGGAGAAACAGAGGGGAUCGAGAGUGGCUUGUGGUUGAUGAAGAGUUGAUGUAAGUGUAACUACCAUAAGGCGCGUAACAUCAUCUGAUAACAAGAGCAGAGUAGCAAAAACGACGAUCAGAUGCAGUGAUUUGGACUGUAAUUAAGAUUUUGAACAGGAAAACAGAAGAAAAUUAAUGAAUGAAAAAAUAAUGAAAGGAAUCAAAGCUUGCCAUAGAGGAGCUUCACUUUUCGCUCGUAGAUGAUCACUACUCCACCUGAGUACAACGGAGAAAGAACCUCAACUGUUACUGGAACGAAGAAAACAGAGUUUAAAAUGAAUGGAAAUUCUCAAACAUUGGUUGCUUACCCAUGAGAAUUCCCGAGAGCCUCAGAGCCAUCGGAACCGACGGAUUCAAAAUCUCUUCGCUACAAAAUUAAACGAAAAAACUAAUUCAAUAUAAUCAAAACUGGAAGUAAGUGGACAAGAAAGUAUAGAAAUCCAAGAAGAAACAUCCACCAGAUUUUAAUGAUGUUGAGCUUGUCAAGCUUUCUCCGGUUCAUCUUCGCAUGCAUCGUCGCUGCCAUCCUUCAUAUCAUCACAGAGAGAUUUACACAUACCAGUCACAUUUCAUGUCCAUUGUACAUUACAAUACCAAUUAACAACAGAGCUCAUAAGAAUUCAUGCAUAUCCACAAGCAUUAAAGUCCAACAACAUGAGUCUACACAUUCAAAAGCAGAAUUCACAGAAACAAAACAACACAGUACAAAAGUAAAAGAUAAAAAGCAACUCGCCAUAUCUGCCCAAGAGCAGCUUUCCGAGCAAGAAGCUGGUGAGAGUAGAACAUUUUGGCUCAAACACUUCAAUUAAAAUUCCAAACUCUUCGUUAAUCGCUUAGAAGAAGAAGAAGAAAGGAAGUGAAACGAGAGAUCACACGGAAAACGAGAGCUGAGAGUGGUGUGUCUUCACCCUCCGCAACUCAAUACAACAGUGUAAGAAAUGCCGCUCAAUUAUAGAGUCACCAGUCGAAUCAUGCUACCUACCACGCUACUAGCACCAAUGAGCUCCACGUGUCCAUAGAAGAUUAAAUAUGGAAAAUCAUAUGAUACUUGAAUACUCUCUUUUUGUUUCAUUUGAGGCGGGUGAUUCAGCGAGUAGGUAGAGCGUAUCAUAUGCAUUAUACUCGCUUUUCCAUUGGUUAGUCACUGGAUGUGGUCCCAGAGAAUCACGUGUUCAAUAGAGGUAGGGAAUAUAUGAUUCAUCAUCAGUUUCUAGCCCAACUUUCCGAGUUUCGUCUCUGUGAUUCCUCUCUGUGUAGUGGUGAUGGAGAAUCGGAGACUGGUGGAGGUGUCGGACCACGAAGUUCGAAUCGACUUCGCACUGGGCUGCAAAUGCCGAGCCAACGUCCGCCUCACUUCUCUCAGUGCCAACACUCCCAUUGCCUUCAAGGUUCAAACCUCUUCGCCUCAGAAGUUUCUAGUGAGCCCACCCACUGGUCUUAUUCCUCCUUUGUCCUCCGCUGCCUUUCAAGUCAUCCUCAAGCCCCAAUCGCAGCCUCCGGCGAUGUUCCCUCGCUCGCCGACGGACCGUUUCCUCAUCAAAACCGCGCUCGCUGCGGAGUUCUCUACCCAGUCGACUCAACCGGAUUCCAUCAACUCGUGGUUCGCCUCCAGGCCGACGCAGGACCUGAAGCUUAAGGUGGUGUUCGUUGGGCCAUUCCUUCUCCGGCAUGCCGUCGCGGCUGGGGAUGUAGACGCCGCGAGGAACUUGAUCAAGCGGCAGAAGUCGGUGGUGGCGGAGAUGCUGCCAAGGGAAGCCGAGUCACUGCUCGGAGUCGCUUCCAAGUCUAACGAGAUGGUCGAGUUGCUGGUCGAAGCAGGGUUGAAGAGCGAGGCACGUGCGAAGAUUGAUAAGAUGAGUUUGGAAGAGGAGACCAGGUGGGCGUCGAAGGGGUGGACGGGGAUUCACGUGGCUGCAGCGUUUGAUCGGACGGAGGAGCUCGCGAGGCUGGUGAAGUUGCUGGGAUCUGGGCCGUUGGAUUUCAGGGAUAACGAGGGGAGGACGGCGCUGCACCUGGCAGUAAGUAAAGGAAAUAUCCAGUGUGCGAGGACGUUGGUGGAGGCGGGUGCGGACAAGGACGCCAAGAGUAAGGACGGUAGAACGGCGCUGUACAGAGCAGCCUCAAAUGGUGACCGUCCGAUGGCGGAGAUGCUGAUACAGAUAGGUGCGGACCCCACUAUCACCGCUGGCCAUCGUGGCCGUUCACCUCUUGAUAUUGCUCGCGAUAAGGGACACGUAAGCACUAAACCUCAAUUUCUUGUCUUACGUCUUGUUUGGCAUAAUUUUGUUUUUCACUUAAUGGGAAAGUGAAAGUAAAAAAUUAGACUACAAUUUUUAAAUACAUUGUGUAAGAGGGAAUACUUCCUAAGAGUGUAAUAAAAUAUCAUAAAUAUCCUCAUGUGUUGUUUUUGUCUUUGAAUUUCCAGUAUAUAAAGUUAAACCGUUAUCAGAGUGGAGCCCACCUAGAGAAAUAGUCAAUUCUCUGUUGUGUCAGAUUGAUUUCUCUCUCUCAAGUUGGAAUAGGGCACGGACAUAAACGUCAUUAGCAAAUGUGAUUAAAGCCUAGAAGAGUUUACAAGAAUUCGUAUUAACGCUGAUUAUUGUUUCUCAUUUUUGCAUGGACAUGCAGAAAGAGAUUGUGGAGAUCCUGGAGCAAGGGGAGACAGUACUAACCACAGCAAGACGGGGAGAGCUCAAGCCUCUGGAGCUCUUGCUGCAGAGAGGCGCAAGCAUCAACCACCGCGAUCAGUAUGGGUUGACAGCUCUCCAUGUGGCCGCAAUCAAAGGGCACAAGGAUGUCGCCCUGCUGCUCAUCAGGUUCGGGUUAGGCUUGGAGUGCCAGGACAGUGAAGGCCACGCGCCGCUGCAUUUGGCAGUGGAGGGCGGCAGCAUGGAGACAGUGGAGGUGUUGGUAGAUGAAGGAGCCAAUAUCAAUGCCAGGAGCAAGAGGGGUGCAACCCCUCUCUACAUGGCUAAUGCCUUGGGGUACCAUGACAUCGCUCAGUUUCUUGUAAACAGAGGAGCCUCCUCCUCUUCACUUCCUCCAUCAUCUUCACCUUACCAUUUAUGAUAUCAGUAUGCAUCAAAACGUUACAAGCCCUCUUUUUUCAAAUUCAAUUAUUUCCUUAAUUUAUAUAGAAAUUUAACUGAAAAAAAAAAAUGCCUUUUUCUUUGAAGACUUGGUUUGCUAAAAACGCAGCGGAGGGGUUGGUGUUGAAUUUUGGGGAGGAAUGGUAAUUCUUAUAACCUAAGGCAGGACUUUACCUAACCGAUUGUGAUGGUUUUUUUUUUUUAAUUUCCUUUUUUCUUCAUCACGCUUCCUUCUCUUUUGGGAUCUUCAAGUACUGUAAACAGAAUCUGCUUUUGGGAGACUAAAGACAGGGAGAAGAGAGAUCCAAGUGAAGCUUCUCUUCUCAAGAAAAAGAAGAAAGAAUUACCUUGUGAUGAAACGCUUUUUGUGUAGAAGACCAAUAAUCCAAGUGGCAGAAGCUCAUCCCAUUUGGUGUGCAGGUGUCAAUUCUCCGUGAAAUGCUUUUGCUUUUCUGGGAAAACUGCUGGGAUUCAAUCAGUUUAUAUUGUUAUGAUCUUUUCCUUGUUCCCACCGUCUCAUCACUCAGAAUGAAAAUCUCUUUCAUCAUCUUCUUCUUCUUUUACGUUUUGUUCUUCAAUGGUGCUUCUGCAACUCCUCGUCUCCCAGACCACUUCACCAAAUCAAGGUCACAGUCAACACUCCAACGACCCUCAGGCCAGGAGUUUUUCGAGCUGAGGCAACCUCUGCCGUCCGAUCAUCUGACCCCAGCAUGCACGGUUCCAAUUCUCGACCACUACUUCGCCAAUACCAUUGGUUCGCCCCCGGUGUCCGUACCGUACAAGCCUCCGCGCCAUUGUCAUGCCCCGUGGUCACGUGUAGUCCUGGAGGUGCACGCAGAUUGCAAAGGCGAGCAGUAUGAUCGCAUCGCCGCCGUGUGGCUUGGCGGCGUGGAGAUUCUGCGGACCAGCACGGCGGAGCCGGACGAGGCUGGAAUCUUCUGGAACGUUCAGAAGGACAUCACCAGGUACUCCUCGCUCCUCAAGCUGUCGAACCAGGACCUCACGAUGAUGCUCGAGAACAUCGUUGACGACAUCUUCACCGGCGUGUACCAUGUCCAGGUGUCACUUCUCUAUUACAAGGACAAAGGCGUUACGGCUCCAGCGGAUAAGAAUUUGGGAAGAGAAUUAGGGUUUAGGUUCGGGAGUCCGUGGAUUGCUCCUACACGGGUUGUUGGGGAAGCUCCAUUGAGUCUCUAUGAACCACCCGCCGACUUGAUCGUUCCGAUCUCCAACAACGGGGACCGCGGUUUCUGGUUUCGAAUCAACGGCGAAUCGGAUGUGCGAACCAAGAGAGUUCAAAUUCCGCGCAACACUCGCAGGGCGGUUAUCGAGCUCUACGUGUCGUUUCAUGGAAAUGAUGAGUUCUGGUACUCGAAUCCGCCAAAUUCUUAUAUCAGGAACAACAAUUUAACCACAGAUCGAGGCAAUGGAGCGUUCCGUGAGGUUUACGUGACUGUCGACGGCAAUUUUGUGGGCUCAGAGGUUCCUUACCCGGUGAUAUUCACAGGCGGAAUCAAUCCAUUGUUUUGGGAACCGGUUGUGGCGAUUGGGGCCUUUGAUCUUCCCUCUUACGACUUCGAAUUGACUCCAUUUCUGGGGCUUCUGCUUGAUGGAAACACCCACAAUUUCGGAAUUGGGGUGUCGUACAGUAUCCCAUUUUGGCUGGUGGAUGCUAAUCUGCACCUGUGGUUGGAUCAUCAGUCUGAAGCAGUUCAGGCGAAGCUUGUCAGCCAGAAAAGCCCUGCACUGACUCUCACGAGCAGCCAGAAAUUCAAGAGACUGGAUGGAACAUUCGAGCUAGAGGGAAGUAGAAAGGGUCGCUACGUGGGAUGGGUGAAAUCGAGUGAAGGGAACCUAACCACAAUAGUAUCACGAAAAUUGAAGUUCAGGAACGCUAUCCAAUUCCGAAGAGACGGAAACCACAAGACUGUUGAACAGAAAAUCAAGUCGAAAACACAAGUGAAAGUGUUGACAGAAACCCGGAUUCUGCUCAGUCGCCCAUUCAUCAAAUGGCGUUACCCCCUCAAAAUCAUCACCUCGACCAGACCGGGAUCAGGGCAGGGCACAAACUUGAUCACCACCAAUGUGACGGAGUCGUUGGGGAAAAGAUUCGCCAAUGGCAACAGCUCCAUCUUUGUUUACAAUAGCCAAGUUUGCGGGGGAUACAUGGAGGUGAAGGAUCACUCAGUUGUCUCGGGAGUUUCAGACACUACUCAGAGUUUCAGGGUCAGGGAUGGCUCCCGGUGCUUCUCCCGGGUUGUUGCAUCGACCAAUGGCAAGCUCUUGAGCGAUAGCUCAUCUACUUCUUGCGCAAGUUCUGUGUAGUUUCUUUCCCUCUUGUCCUCUCUCCUCUAAUGUAAUUGUGUAUUUCUGUAAUGUAUGAAACUACUCCUGCAUGUGUACCCUAACAAAACUCCAAAAAAUGGGUAUGUUCCUUUGUUUGUUGUGAAUAUGGGGUUCGGUGUUUUUUGUAAGGUAGCUUUGAGAAGCUUCCGCUUGUGUAUGUUUGUGUGAAUACGUUUUCUAUUUUGUAACGAUGUAGUUUAGGUCUCUGAGUUGCACCUUACACUAGUUUGGUAACUUAGAUCAGCGGCAGCAAAUGGAUGAGGGUGUAAGAAAUAGAAUAGGAAUUUACAAGUCGUGUUUGAGAAUAAGAAUGGAAAUUGGUUGAGAAUAGAAUUGAAUCAUAAUACCAUAAAUAAAUAAUCAAAAUUUAUGAAAGAAAAUUUAAUUUUCAUAAUAAUGAAUUUUUUAUUCUUAUUCUUAUUUUAAAAAAAUAAUUCAAACAUGUUAACUAAUGAGAAAGAAUAAAACUAAUUUCUCAUUCUCUAAUUGCUCCAUUUAGUGUGUACCAAGGUUUUAGGGUGAGAGGGGUAGCUCAAUUGGUCCGGUUUUGGGUUUGCUCCCCAAGGGUCACCAGUUUAAGUUCCUUCAGAGUUACUAGAGGUUUACCCGAUCGUUAACUUCAGGACCUGUGAAAUUAGUCGAGGUGCACAUAUACCCGGACAUCCACGGUUAUCAAAAAAAAAAAAGUGAUAGAAACAUCUCCGUACAUCCAAUCUAUCUGGUUUUCUCGGAGUAGGAGGCAAGUUUUAUGGGUUGAUUAAUUUGUUGUGUAAUUUAUUUGAUUUAGGAAUUGGCCGGAUGAAGUUGAUGUUUUGCAUAUGAGGAUGAGUUCUGCUCAUCGUUUCUCAGGCUUAAAAAGUACGGGAUUGGGAUGGCAACAUGGCAAGUAACUGUUUGCAACUUGCUUCAUGGUAUCUAGAUUAGAAAAUGAGUAUUUUUACUAUUCUAUAUCUACAUGUAACAUUAGUAUAUUUAUAAUGUAUUUAAUAACCUUAGAUUUUAUUUAAAUCCUAUUACGUAAAUAUACUUUGUUAGUAUCUAUAAAAAAAAACAUCAUCAAUCAUAUUAUGUAUUUUCAAAUCCCCUUACUUCACUCUUAUGUCUUGAUUUUAUAAUGUAUGUUUAGAGCUCAACAUACAAAUUUGACGAUCCAAAUGUCUUGUUCCGCAUGUAGAGCUUAAUGUUCAUUUUUACCCAUUUCCCAAAAAUAAUUAAAAAAAAUGAAUCUAUUUUUUAUAAAAGAUUAUUUGAAAAGUUAUUGUGCAAAUUUUCAUUGGAUCUCCAAAAAUUCCUAAGCCGAAUAUUAAAUCUCUCGCUCUAAUUAAAACGCACCCUUUUAAAGACGGUCAGGAGUGAGCUCCAAGGCUAGGCUCUACCAAUGGUAAAUAUUUUUGUCAUUGCUAUUACACAUUGUCCACACCCCAAUUAAAACCAUGACAUGAAUUUAUUUCUUGCCUCUCUCUCUAUCUCUCUCUUUCUUUUUCUUUUUUUUCCCUUUUUUUUUUUUGCAACAAAACUAAAAGAAAAAAUAUUAUCUUAACGUUCGUUCAACUUUGAAUAGGUCAUCAUCAUGUAGGACGCCAGAAAUCUUUCUUACCGACUAGAAACUGUCCUUGAUAAAGGGUUGUGGACCAGUGGAGAGAGUGCAAGACCGGACUGAGCUUGUCAAUGAUCUCGAUGGUGUCUUGAACCAAAAGCCAUCCACCUGGUCUCAGUAUGCGAUCCAUCUCCACAGCUACAUCUAUAAUAUCACAUCUGAAAUACAAAAGAAAAAAAGCACAAUCUCUGGUCAUUCCAACACGAUAAAAUCCUCAGCAAAAGGCCAUGCAAACUUGCAAAGUUAGAAGAUUACAUAUGAUGGUUAUAGUACCUCUGUGUAAGAUUCCCGAGGAGGAAACUGGAAUGCAGUAGAUCGUAAGUCCGUGGGUAGGUGUUAGAAGAUUCACACCAGUCAUGGUAGGUUCCUAUCAACCCUCGGUCAAAAAUAACAGACAAGGUGUCUGGUACGUGAAUGGGGACGACGUUCAUUACCCAGACUGGCUGAUCGAUGAGUGCUGCUGCAAAUCUGUGAAGAACAGGAACUCAGUAUAUCAUCGCAUGUUUUCAUGAAGCCUAUAUUAUACUGGAAAUUUUUGUAGAAAAAUUUGAAGACAAACAGAUCAAUCUAUUUUAAUUAACUUUAAAAUUUCUUACCCUCCAUAACCAGCAUUCAUAUCCAUUACGUUCCGUAUGCUUGACCAGUUUACAGCUAGACCCUCCAAGUAAACAUCUGAGACAAGUGCAGACCAAUGUUUGGUGUCCUCAUAAAACAUUUGUUCAGCAUCUGGUUCAGUUGGCAGACUUAAAGGUUUGCUGCUAAGCCUCUGGGGCCACGAGACAGGCCAAUUCUGUGAGUUGCCCAUGCUAUCUGCUGGGAGUUGGGGAAUACAACCGUCAAGAGGCACAUACCUAAAAUACAAAAAUGGAUGACAUUAGAGGCAGCAGCUAUAAUAACAACAACAAUUUGGGAAUAAGGCUACAGGUUCCUGAAGAGUACCAUGAAAUGUUUUUCUUAUCUUUUAUAUCACACAUUGGUGGAUUAUUUUCUUUGCGUUUCUCAUAGCAGGAAGAUGAGACAGGCUUCUGAUAUAUUACAAGCCCGAUUCCAUUUAAAUCCACAGUCUUGGCCACAACCUUCCAGCAAAUAGAUUUUGUCACAUUAACCAUAGCUGCAAGAAAUAAGGAGUGUGAACUUCCACCUUAGAUUGCAGGACCUAAAUCCCAAUCUAACUUUAGGGCACAAGUUGGACUGGAAGAUUUGCUAAUGAAAUUAAAACUAAAUAUACAACUGAGGGCACUGAGCUGGAUGAUGCAAUCCAUAAAUGGAUCACAAUGGUGAAGAGUGUGUCAAUUAAAAAAUUAUUGAGGAAAAAACAAGGAUGUUAGAUCACAAACCAUUCCAGACACUCUGAUCUCUUUCAUCCUUACGAUACACAGGUGUAGCAGACCAUACAAAAUACCCUCCAGGUCUGAGGAUCCUAUUGAGCUCCAUUAAUGGUCGUCCACCUAGAAUAUCCAACCAAAAGGAUUUGAGAAAGGUUGCAGAAUGGCUCCAUAAUAGCUGACAGAAGCGAAGAUUAUUGACAAAUUAAAUGAAGUAAUUCAACUAAGCACAAGAAAAGAUUGCAAAGUACCAUUUGCAUCCCAAUGAACCCUGCAGCGAGCACAGUGAAUCAAAUCAUAUACAUUAUCUGGAUAUGUCAGUUUUUGGGUUCCAAUGACUGCAAGAGUAGCAGGAAUUCCUCGCUCCAGAGCAAACUGUAUCUGAGCUUCAUGUUCAUCCUUUGGGGCAAAUGACAUGGUAAUUACAUCUUUGUCCAGCAAAUAGCCUCCAAAGCUAGCAACACCACAACCAACAUCUAGAAUAACUCUGAUCUUCUUCCCCCAUUUAAUAAUUGGUAGUGUCUGGUGAAAGACAAGGAAGACAAAGUCAGCAUAAAAUAGUGUACAAUCAUAUAUGUACAUGUGUGUGUAUGCAUGUAAUUCUGAUCUAUAUCAAAAUGUACCAAUGAAAGGUGCUCAAAUAGUGUACUGAGCAGCGAAUUACAAAGGAAAAUAAAUGAGAAAAAAAACAAAGAGAUAAGUUUCUCACAAUAAAAAGUUUAUUGAACUAAUAUUCAAUUGAAAAGUUCAAGCAACCACUCAGGAGUCGGGGCCAACUAAUGAAAAUGAAGUUUCAAUUUCUACCGAAGCCAAGAGUAAGGAAGUGAUACUCAACAUCGAGAUUGGUCAACCCAAAAUAUUAUGAGGUAUAACAUGCAAUUGUUUCUCAGUAAGAUACUACAAAUAUUAAAAAUUGUGCAUUUACAAUGAUAUUACCAUGACUUCUCAGUGGAUUACAGUUCUUGAAUGCAUAAAGGGAUCCAAUAAACAAAUUCUAUGUUAAUGUUUUAUAGCCCAGAUUCCCAGCCCCACCUCCCAACAGAAAAAGGGCUUGCUCCCCAUGCAAUCAUUAUUAUUGUUGAAUGAGCAAAAUCACUGAGACAAAAUCCAGUUAAUAUUUUUUGCUACCUUGUUUAUCUUACUCUACAGUCACAAUGUUGCAAAAAUUAGUCAGUGGAGGCCCCAAACAGACACAACUGCAGAAAAUAUUAGCAUUAGCCCUAUCUCUUGGCUCAUUACAAGAAACCCAUAAAUAAUUAGUUGAUAUCAAGUUAAUAUCACAGUGACAUAGGAGCAAUUCCAUAGUUUGCAUGCUGUAAUCACAGCACAACCUGUCAUGAAACUCCAACACAAAUUGUUACAUACUGUUCAUUUAUUAGCCAAAUUGCAUCCUAUGUUAUGCUGUAAUUCCAAACUACACAACAGAUGACUCUUAGGACCAUUUGGGAGUGAUUUUGGUAAAAAUGUUUUUAGCCUCAAGUUCUGUUUUCAGUAGCACUUCAAAAAAAAGGUCUUUGCAGAGAAUCAGUAAGUACUUUAAUAAAAAUAAAUAAAUAAAUAAAAGGUGUUAAAAACAUUUGCCCAAUGCUAAUUCAAGAAUCACUUAAAGUGAUUUUCUAAAUUUUAAAAAUAAUUUUUAAAUUAUAUUAAAUGCUUAAUGUUUCUGAGGAAAAUACUUCCAAGCAUUAGGAAGACUUCCAACCCUCCCAAAUUAAACCCAAAACAGUCUCUUAGUUUGCUAUUUUUGCCAUGUCAGGCACCAAAGUUGUGCCUGUGUCCAAGAUGACCUCACAAGUUUACAUCAAAAUCAAAUUGUGUGCCUGUCUAAGACAAGGUGUCUCUGUCAUGGAUGACAAACACGGAAUCCAUGACUGUGCUUAACAACAAUGUCUAUCUCUUUUUCACAUAGUUAUCAAGGAGACCACAUUGAGCACCAACAACAGCAGGAUCACUCCUUUUUUAGACACAUUAAAUAAAUGUAUAUUUUUUGGUUCAGAGAUUCAGGCACGAAGAUGUGAAGAAUUUAUACUCUCCAAUAAGGAAAACUAUGGAAUCAUGUAAGUUCUUUUCUCUCAUUCCUUCUUAGUUUUAUUGUGUACUAGGUACUCUUGACUGGAGCAAUUGUAAACAUGGCUGGCUGCCAAGCAUGAAGGCAUGUUUUGAGUCUUGACAGCAGUAACUUCAUGCAAAAACUACAGAAGUUAGGAACAUAUCAAACUUAAUUCUUUAACUUCUAAAACUAUUAAAAGGAGAGAGGGAUAAAAAUAAAUAAAUAAAUAAAAGAAUGAUGAGUUUCUGCAAUAUGAUUUUAACUUUCACUUAAAUAAGAGAUGAAAGUCAGCAAUGUAUGCAUGCAAAAAAUAAAAAGAAUGAUCAGUUUCUUUAUGAUUCCACUUCCACUUGAUAUGAGAUGAAAUUCAGCAUCAAAUGCAUGCAAAGGUUACAUAUGGAAUACAUACUGCUUUAUUCUCAAAAGAUAAUGGCAGUAAGUUAAGCGGGGGAAUCCAUAUACUACCUUCUCUAUGAAAUCAAUGUAGUUAGUAACUCCUUCCUUGAAUUGAGUACCACCACCAGGAAAAACAAGGUAAUCGCCAGAUUUACGCACCCAAUUUUGGUCUUUCUUGUAUUCAACCAGCAUAGGAUGGGGAACAUUGUCAAACCAAAUCUGGAGUAAGAAAAGAAAAAAAUUGUAAAAUCUGAUUACUAAUAUUUCACGAGCAAUUUAAGUAGCAUAGAAUUAUGUCAACAUGGUAACGCUUUCUCAAAAUAAAUUCAGCAUCCAGUUCAGCCAAAAAGAAAAUAAGUAUUCACUAACUUCAUGGAACAGGGAUUAUCAAACUUUUUUCCUUCACAUGCACAGAGAGUAAUUUAAGAAGCUUAGUCAAUUGCUUCAAAGAUGAGCAUACAUGGAAUUGAUGACCAAACGUUCAAAACAAAAAUUAAAACAAUGCUACAUUUAUAUUCCCCAAAAUAAAAAUUAAAUGCUACACCAUUUAAAUGACAUCUGAAAUUCAAAAGAGAAGUAAUUAUAUUUCCCAAAAUCAUCAAAAUGAAUUUUCUAGUAAAAAAAAAUUCAAUUUGCUACCAUAUCAGAAUGACACAAACCUACACUAAAAGAUUGCCAAUGAUCAAUUUCAAUAUAGUCUAACAAUAAAUUCGGUUCUUUCAGAUGAUGCACGAGUUUGAUUGUAGAGAAAAUUAAAAGAGAAGUAAUUAUGUUCCCUUAAAUCACCAUAAUGCAUUUUUGAGUAAAUAAAAUUCAGUUUAUACCAGAUCAAAGCUACACUAUACUACACUAAAGGACUAUUAAUGGUCAAAUUUUGUUUAUGUCUAACAAUAAACUUGGUUUUUUUGAAUGGUGGAAUAACAAACGGUUGAUUGCAAAGAAGCUUAUGUCAAUUACUACAAAGAUGAGCAAAGGAAUUGGUGACCAAAAGUUCAAAAUAAAAUAAAAUUAAGAACAUGCUACAUUUAUAUAAGACACCAUUUAAAUGACAUCCUAUCAUUUAUACUUAGCUUCAAACAUAAAAUGCCAAUAGCUAAUCAAUCUGUGAAACACAUGCUGUAAAAGUAUAUAGGCAGCCUUAAUUAGAGCUUCAAGAGAAAUAAAAGGAAAAAAAAAAUUAUGAAAAUAAACCAAUUGUCUCAAUUCCUACAUAUAGGAAGGAAUCCAUUUUCACUUAGAAGCAUGAUCCCAACAUGGUUUACUCCUAUUUCUUAAAACAUAGCUCACAUGAUAGGAAAUAGAAUACCAUAAACAUAUUAUUAGUCAAUCUGCAAGGUUAGCAUACUGCACAUGGGGGUUAAUCACACCUGGGUUCAGGUCCUUCCCUUCCCCAUGCUAGCUUCUGUUCUGUGUGGUUCUUGACUUAUCGAGUUUUUCUAUUCAUGGUAAUCUAUCAAAAAAUUUUGCAGGAUUUGAUCCUGGAUGAGCCAAGUUUUUCUUGAAAUUUGGUCCUCAAUUUGCCAAAAAUUAUUGUCUAUUUUCGUCCUGCACUGAACUUGUUUCAGAAAUUCUACGUGAAAACACUUCUAUAUAAUUAUAUGAAAUUAUUCCCCAUAAGCCUAGGAAUCCAAUCAUGCCUUGCCAGUUUUGGGUUCAUUCUAUCCAUGUAUUGAUCCACAAAAACAAACACAAAUAAAAAUAAAUAAAUAAACAAAAACUAAAAACAAAAACAAAGAAACAAAUCAAUUGAUAAAAACCCUAUGACCAUGCCCAAAAAAAUACUGAAUUUGGUUGCAUAGAUUUCCACUCAAUAGUAGCAGAAAUGUUUUCAAAUUCUACUAUAUUAUUUAAAGAAAAACAAAUACCCUGCAUUUCCUAAUUCAACUUCUAACUACAUUUACAAGAGUCCAUGUUUUUUUUUUUUUUACAACAAGCAAAUUAAUAUUUCAAGAUCUAAAGUGAACCAUUUUACAAAUUAUAAGAGCAUUAGAUGAUAAUUCAAUUUCUUCCUGUAUUAGUAAGAGUCCAGGCUCUUCUUGAAUACGUCAAUCAAAAAAGCACAAUAAUUUUGACUUAGCAACUCAAAAAACAAAACAAUCUUAAACAACUAAUUAAACAACACCAGAUCAAAUCUUACCAAACCAUAUCAAUCUCACCAUAUCCCUACUCUUUGGCCAUGGAAUUGGGACUCUGUACCCUGGGGGAAGCCGAACCAAACAACGCGGACUCGGCUCCGGACAAUGCCGCUCUCUAUGUUCCAUAUGCCUCCGAGACCUCAAUGCCUUUAUCGCCUUCAUGUUAUCGAGACACGGAAUGUAAUCAACCGCAGCUGGACCCUUACAGAGUUCCCAAUUCAACUCCGCAACAGCUGAAUCAUCAUUUCCGUUCAGCGAAACCACGUCGUCUUGAACCAUGCCCGUGAUCGGAGUGCUGGAAACCUCCGGGGACCGAGGAGGCGGCGGCGCCGCCGACGACGACGACGAAACUGACCGUAGCCUUUGGAGAUCGGAAAUGGAGAAGUAGGAAUACUGGUUGUUGGUCAAGAGAAGGAAGCCGACGCAGAUGAACAAGAGCGACAGCGUGAAAAUGAAGGGGUAUUUUCGUUCCUUAAAUAUGGUCCCAACAGAAAUCGCCAUUCUCUUAGAAGAUUCAGAAGCUCAAGAGAGAGACAGAAGAAUGAAAUCGAAUCUGAGGAGGUGGGAGAGAGAUUUACGGAGGCAUGGUGAAUAGUUGUAGAUGAGGAGAGCAAUUGACGCGAGAGAGUAGAUGGAAAUGGAUUUAGACAGUGAUAAAUUCCAAAGACUCAGAAUCUGAUUAAUGAAUUGCAGUAAAUUUCAACGAAAAUGAAAUGUGGAAUGGAAAUUAUUAUUUUAAAUAACAAUCGGAGCGGAGAAAAGAGACUGUUUCGCUAGUUUGAUCUUAAAAUAAAUUAUUGUUCAAAAAGUUUUUUUUUUUGUUUUUUUUGCCACUUAUGUAUGAAGAAGCAGGCUCUGUCGGUGCAUGCUUCAAGCAGUAGCCCAUGGUUAUCACGCCAAUUACAAAGGCUAUGGUGGUUAAUUUAAUCCAUAUUCAUUACGAAUAAAACAUUUUGGUGUCUUAGGACAUUUCUUCAACCCAUUUUGCCUAUUUCGCUAUUUUCUAAUUCCUACACGUCUUUACCCUGAUGAAAUUGUGAGCUUAAGAAUUCGAUUUUACAAAUACAUGGGACGUAUCAAUAAAAAUUUGAACAUAAAUUAUGGUAAAAAUUAAUCGAAACUCAUAAAAAUAAUAAAAAAAUAUGAUAAAUAAAUAGAUAAUAUACAUAUUAAAAUGAAGAAAAGUAUGUUUGAUAAUGAUUUUAUGAAGUAUUUUAAUCUUUUUAAUACUUAAGAGAUAAAAAAUUUAAAUAUUAAAAAUUUUAAAAACACCUCUUAAAAUCACAAUCAAACACGAAAAUCUCUAAAACAUGACAAAAAAACAAUAACAUACAUAUUAAAAUUGUUGCGUAAAACUUUAAAACACAAAAAUAUCUAUGAAAAUUAAAAAUAUAUAUGUUAAAAUGGAUUAAAACUUAUAAAAAUAUUAGUAAAAACUCUUAAACUUAUAUAAACAUAAUAUAUAUAUAUAUAUAUAUUGGAAUUGUUUUAUUAAAAAUUUGAUAUGAAAAUAAUAUAAUUUAGGUUAAAAAAUGAUGAAAUCCCCAAGUUGGAAAUCUAACAAUUCCCAUGUUUUUUCUUCAAAAGUAACCAAUUUUUAAAAUAAAUAUCAUUUUUGUUUUCAAGUAUUUACAUAUAAGUUUUAAAAGAAAUCGUUAUUUUUACAAUGAAAUAAUAAGGGCAUUUUUGUUCAAAUGAUGUCAAAAAAUGAUGAGAGAUUAAAUUUAAAAAAUUGGAUUUUAUGAGAUCGUUUUAAUCAAAUAAUCCUAUUCAAUAUCAAUAUACAUAAUUUAAGAAUUUAAAAAUAUUUUUAAUAUUAAAAUUAUAAUCUAUGUAAUAUUCAAAAUAUAAAAGAGAUUAUGAGUCUUAAUGCCCUCCUUCCUCUUUAAAAUUUUUCACAUAGUUGAUUCCCCCUAAAAUAUAAUGAUAUUGUGAAAAAAUUUCAUGAUAAUAUAGCUAUAAAUAUUAUCAUGUCGCCAUACUUAAAAAGUUAAAAAUAAAUAAAUAAAAUAUUAUUAUCAAGAAAAUAUUUCUAAAAGUAUUAUAGUUUUUAUUUUUAUUUUUAUUUUUAUUGAUCUAAAACAUAACUCAUUUUCUUAUCUUAAGAAUUCAAGCUCUUCCAUGAGAAAAACACAGCAAUUUUGACUUGGAUAGCUGAAAAACCAAACGAUCUUGAAGCUUGCAAAAAUUAAACAACAACCAACAAACGAAAAUCAGAUGAAAUCUUACAGAAUUACCGUAUCAUUCUCACAUGAUCCCUGCUCUUUGGCCACAGAAUUGGUACUCUGUAACCUGCUCGAAGUGGAACCAAACACCGCACACUCAGUCUCGAGCAAUGCCGCUCGUGACUCACCUUACGCUUCCACGAAGUCAAAUUCUUUAUCGCUGCCAAGUUAUCGAGGCCUGAUAUUGCUCAUGUUGUUGGAGUUAUCAGCAGGUUCCUUUCUAAUCUUAGAAAAUAACAUUGGGCUAUAGUGAAAAUGGAUUAUCAGGUAUCUGAGGGGUACUUCUAAGACAUGUUUAUAUUUUGGGACUAACAAAUUUGUGCUUGUAGGAUGCACAAAUACAGAUAUGGCUGGGGAUAUUGAUUCCAGAAAGUCUACUUUUGGUUAUUUGAUCACUUUUUCAAGGGAAACAAUGUCAUGACAAUCAAAGUUGCAAAAAUGUGUUGCUUUGUCGACCAUAGAGACUGAAUAUAUUGUUAUCACUGAAGCUAGCAAGGAGUUACUAUGGAUGAAGAAAUUCCUAUGAUAAUUGGGUCUACAGCAAGAAAGGUAUCUACUCUAUUGUGAUAGUCAGAGUGUUAUUCAUCUCAGUAAGAAUCCAACUUUUCACUCUAGAUCCAAGCAUAUCGAUGCGAGAUAUCAUUGGAUUUGUAAUGCACUAGAGAUGAAAUUGUUUUUCCAUGAGAAAAUUCAUACUGAUGAGAAUGGAUCAGAUAUGAUGACAAAACCAAUACAAGCUACAAUUCUGUAGAAAACAAGCGGCCUUGGUAGAGCCCCUCACAUAGUCGAGAGGGGGAGAUUUGUUGGGCUCCCUCAUAUGUGAGAGAGUGGGGCCCAUAUGCUUAGGAACCAAUUCAGUUACAUUAAAAAAAAAAAAAGAUCGAGAAAAGAAAAAAACAAAGAGGAGAUAAGAGAUAAAAAAAAAACGCAUCUAUCCAGAUUUCAUCAACAAGCCGAUCUCGCUUCAUAUGUGAUCCGAUCGAGUUGAAAUUUGGAAGAGAGGUUUGAAACUUGAGUAGCUACAAUCUGAACGGUGGAGAUCAGAUUUUAGGCUCGGGAACUGGUAUUACUACCUGUGAAUUGUAACGAUGUUUUUUGGGUAUACUUUCUCUAAUUUUUAUUUGUUUCUUUGGUCAAGAGAGAUUGUAUAAUCCAAUGCUAUAUGUGCUUUUGAUAUAUUUGGAAGCCUCUAGAGAUUAUUUUAGAAAAAACAAGUAUAACUCAUUAUUGUUGAUAGUGGAAGUUUGAACUGGACUAGGUCCCGUGGUUUUUCCCUUCAUAAUGGGGGGUUUUCCACGUAAAAAUUUCGGUGUCUGAUUUAUUUUUCUGUUGCAUGAGUUUAUUUAUUUAUUGUUACUAGUUGUUAUUGCCUAUUUAAUUUUGCAAAAUUUUUUGUGUUUAUUGGAAUAUUGUGAAUUCACUGCCUGUAAUUGACCGCACCACAAAGCUCCCACUUCACCUCCGCAGCAGUUGAAUUACCAUUUCUUUUCACGGAAACGACGUCGUCCUGUGCUGUGGCAGUGCUAGGGCUACUCACCGGAGAUUUGAAUGCCGCCGGCGACCUCGUCCGCCCCACCGACCACAGGUUAUGGAGAUCGAACGAGGACAAGUAGGAGUACUUCUUGUUGCUUAGAACGAUGAAGACUGCGAAGCAAAUGAAGAUGAGUAAGAGUUGGAAAAGAAACGGAGGUCUUCGUCCUCUGGAGAUGCUUUCAACAGAAUUCUGCAUUUUCGUAUAAGAUUGUGAUGGGAAUCGAAUCAGCACAACUGAGGAUGAGCGACUCAGAGGAAGAGAAUCUCGGAGGGGAAUGUCAGAGAAAAUGGGACGCGUUGGGCUGUGCAAAAGGUGGCCGUUUUAAGUACUUUUAGUUUGUGGCAUAACUUUUCAAAAGCGAUUUUGUGAUUUUGUGAUUGUGAUUUUUAUUUUUUUGAAUCACGCAGCAACCGAUUUUUCUAAGAAUCACUUCAGUGAUUCUCUAAAAAUUUUAAAGUGACGCCUAAUUUCUAUGAAAAAGAAAAAUUCAACACAUUAGAAAGUGUUUUUCCCAAACACGUCCUAACUGAUGCUACAACACAUAAUGUCAAAUACACAACAGGCUCCAUUCAGAAGUAAACACAAUCCUCAAGUAAAAGAGAGAGUACAUUCUCAAAUGAACUGGAAAAAAAUGUUCAACAUUGUAUAAGUUGGUCCCGGGUUCAGAAAUAACUCGUUGAAUUUGUAAUUUGACAAAAUUUCUUAAUGACACAAUUACUUGAAAGUUGGUUUUAUACAACCACUAAACACCUACGUGAAAAAUUAACAAAGAAAAGAUCUCAAGAACUUGAUAAAAUCAUCACCAACUAUGCUGCAUUCCUCAGUCUGUUAUGCCAGGACCUGAGUUCUCUACAUCAAUGUCUCCCAAGCCAGUGUCUUCCUCUUCUUCACUGCCUUCAUCGCCACUGAUUUCCUCGUUCUGAUGACUUAGCUUAGCCAUAUGCUCAGCAAGUAGUUUAUCGUCCCGUUCACUCACCUGAAUCAAUGCACCACAUCAGGGACAUGAUAUAAAGAUAGCUAAUUUCUAAUGUGACAGCAAAAUUAAAUAAAGAGCAAGUUCUAACAGAAAGUUUCCGAAGUGACUUAGCCAAAAACCAACAGACGUUAGGUUGAGAAUUAAAAGAUUGAAAGGAAACAAAUUUAAGUAGAAGAUGAUUGAAACUCACAGCUCUGGGUGCCUCCUUUACGAUAAGCUUUCCUUUGUGGCAAUCAAUUUCUUCUGUGCAAGCAGCAAUGGCAUUAUUGAGAAUUGACAUUCCUUGCUCCUGUCAGGCCAAAUAGCAGUGAAUACUAAUAUUAUUAGCAAAGUUGAUAUGGUUAAACAAAAUGCCCAACAACUCAUUUUAAAGUAUCCAAAUAAUCCGACAUAGUCAACAAUUGAGAAGAUAAGACUUGCUAUGUAUACAGAGCUUAGUGAAAACUCUUGGUGGAAUCAAUCAAGAGAACCCAUGUUACAGAAAGGGCAUGGAUAAUUGUAUGAACUGGUUAGUUUUUAGAUGCUAAUAGGUUUAAAUCAAAAUCACCUCAAAUAUUGGUUUUCACAUGGAGCACUCAUACACCUAGCUAGAGUAAGUCUACCACAAAAGUGACUCCUAUUAAAUUGAUAGCUUUUGUUAAGAGUAGCCAGCAGCUGCAGUUUUGCAGUUAUCCAGAUGAUGAAGACUGAGACACAGGAGUAAGAGGUUAUGUUUCUCCAGAAGUAGUAGCUGCUCCCUAGACUAGAAAUAUUCUCCACUGAGAAAAGUUAGCACCCUUUUUACCAUGUUACGUUCUCCAAAGUUAUGCAUCUUUUUUUAAACAGACUUUUCAAAAAUAAAGGAUGAGGUAAAGGGGGAGAGUGAGGUAGAUUCUUCUUACUGCUUGGAGGGGAGCGGCUCUCUCUAUUUGGAGGGUUGUCCACACAUCAUGAUAUAGUUUGAGCUCACUGCAUCUUCAAAAUGGGCUCUGGUGUCCCAAAAUGAAGAGGGAGAUGCCAAACCAAGAGGAGCCACAACACUAGAGGAUUUUUAGCACAUUUUCUAUCCUCCUAAGUUUUUGGUUUCUGGAGAAUAAUCUUCAGUACUUUUCGCUCUGUUUUCUUUUUGUAUUCUCCACAGCACAAUAUGUUGUCUAUCUCAGUAUUUGAUUUUCUUUUAUUUCAGGAAAAAAUCAAAGUAAUAAAAUGGAAAGAUACAAACUGUAUACACCAAAGAACUUUUCAUCCAUUAUGCAUGCAAUUUGGACUAGCACAUAGGAGAAGAACAGCUGAUAACAGGACUGAAGUUGGACUGUCUAAGAAGCAAAUGACCAUUCAACCCACCAAAAAGGAGGAAACAAGUUUGCUCCGUACUAAACACAGGCAAUAAAAUUAUCCAGGGGGAAAUUGUUUGCUACACUGUGUCAUUACCUUGUCAAGCGUCUGAGUAGUAAGAACAUAAAGCGGAGGAGCAACCAGUUUAAUUUUCACUGGACAAUCCUUAUUGCCCGCCGCUUCUGCUUUCCGCAUUGCUUCCUGAAUAGUGAAAGAUAAAACAAGUAUUAAAGCAGACAGUACUUAAAACGGUUCUAAAGUAAAAUCCCAAUUAUGAAACAGAUUAGGCCAAUCAAAUAAAAUAAAAAGUGGCAAAGAAGGACACCAAUAAAACCUUAAUGUGAAGAACACCAUCAAACUGGAAACAUUUCAUUUCAAUAUCAGCCCGAAUUUUCAAUGGUUGUGGAGUCAUUCUUCUCCUAAUAUUCUUUACCAAAGCAUCCUUCACUUCCUCAGAUAUAGCAGGGACCACCUUUGUCACCUAUAAAAUGAGGGACAUGAAAAGUGGCCAUUGUCAUCAACAGGAAGAAUAUGGUGAGGUUCUUCAUAAACAAAGAUUACCUCCUGUCCAUCAGGGCCAACUUCUUUAACUUCACGAGUGAGGGAAUUCAGAACUGAAUCAGGAUCAGUCACAAUUAUCUUAAAUGCCUGCAACAACCAAAAGGUAAAAAGGAAAAAAGGUUCUUAGCUGUAAAUACAAGAGAAAAAGAAAAGAAAGGACCCCCACCCAUCCCCCCGCCCCCACAAAAAAAAAAACAUAAAAAAACCUCCAAUAAAGUGAUAAAUAAUCUCACCUCAAAAGCAUGACCAUAUUUUCGGUAUAAAGGCCAUCCGACGUGGAUGUAUAAAUCCUGUUAUAAGACAUUUGCAUAUCAUCAACAAAUCUUAAAUAUGAAGAAACAAACAAAAAUUCCAGCGCCACAGCCAGUAGGUAUUUUAUGUGAAUGAUAAAAUUAGAUCCAUUACUCACAUUACCAACACCACAGUGCUACUUCUAUUCAAAUUGUCAUCUAUGUUUUUCAUUGGUGAACAAUACCAGUAAGAAUAUGCCCUCGAGGUUUGUCUCAUGGACCAAGCAGUUGGGUUAGAGAUCAGGAAGUUCUAGAUUUGAUUUCAUAAAGAAGUGAAUUCUACCCAUCAAACAAUAUGUAUUGUUGGGAAUAUUAAUAAUUGAAAUAUUAACAACCCAAUUCAUAACACUCAACUGAAACUUUUUGCCAAUCAAAAAAAUAAAUAUAAAAAUACUCAACCAAAACUUCAAAAGUUAACUUUAACAUGACCAAUCAGUCUCAAACACCCCAACCACUGUCACCACCCCCGCCCCAAUUCCUCUGGAUCUGUUCCCAGAGCUAUCUUAGAAGUGGACUUCCAUCUUUCUAACCAUUUCAAGUUAAGAAGAUGAGAAGGCAGUACUCUAGCCCUCCGACAUUUCCACACUGCCACCAUUAAUCCCCACCAUCACUGUUGCAGUCUUAGCACCCAGUUGUCAGUUGCAAUGCAUCUUCCAUGGUCCCUAAUAUAAAAUACCGGAAUGGUUUACUAACAAAAAAGCAAGCCAGGUUAACAACAUUCUGAAACAAUCCAUGAUUCUAUUGUGGAAACCCAUUACAAAAGCUUUCAAUUCUACAUAGCUGAGAAACUUUCAUGAAAAGAGCCAUAAUAUCAAGAGAUGAAUCUACCAUACUUCUACAAAUUCACAAAACUAGAACAGCAACAAUAAACCAUAUCAUAUUAAUAGAAGAACACAGCUUGCAAUUAUAAUUAGGUACCCUAAAACUCCAUCCAAAAUACCUCUAAUUCGAGCCGCAUUAUAAUUACGAUGAUCAGCCCAAAAAUUAUGCAAUGAAAUCAGUAGUUUGUGAAUAUAUUGCAACAAUUUCUAUGAACUUUAAUAUUUUCCACCACAAGUAAAACAAUGAUAUCUACGAAUCAUUUAACUCAAUCCCCAUAAAGAAGCAUCUUACAAUACGUUUGGAAACAAAGGAUAACCUGCGAUUUGGCUUAGUUUAGUUUGUUAAUGAUUUGAAAACAAAAUCAAUUUUCUCAGCAACCAACCACUAGAAUCGACCCAAUGUACCUCCAAAUCAAGCUGCAUCGUCUCGGCAACAUGCCGCAUAAUCGAGUGAACAAGCUUGCUCUUAUUGUACCUCUCCUCGCACGCCUGAAUAUCCUCCUCUGAAACCCUCCUCUUGCUCAAAUCAAUAUACCCUUUUUCCUUAUCAACCCUAAGGACCAUCACAGGCUCGAUGCGUCCCACCUUGAUCAGGCUACUCACGCUUCGAAUCCGACGUCGAGAGAGCUCGGAGAAGAGGAUCAUACCCUCGAUGUUGUUGUACUCGAGCAGCGAGACGUACGCGCCCAUGUCGGCGAUGUUAUUGACCUGAAUCAUCACCGCCAUGUCCACUUCUGGGUACUUGGCUUCGUACAUGCGGCACUCCAAAUUGGGCGUGUUCGUCGCCAUGGAUUGGGGAUUGCGGCUCUGUCGGGAUUUCUAGGGUUUUCUCUGGGAGCGUUUGGAGAGCGAUAAAUUUAACAGUUGUGCGAUGCCUCGCCGUUAAAGGUAGGGUUUUGACUGAUUUCGAUUUUGUAAAUGAGACUAGCAAUCAGCCAGAGGCAAACACCAGCGGGCACAGUUUGAUCCAAGAGAUAAAAGUCAUAAAACUCAUAAAAGUACUUCGAGGUUUCGACUGGCGAGUGUGAAAUCCAUUUGCGGCUUCUCAGGGUAUUUUUAAGCAGUGGUAAGAGCAACGACGUCGUUUUUGUUAUACGUUUAAGUGGAAAGGUACCAACCUUAGGAGUAGGACAGGUGGAAUGCGAGUGUAACGUAAGUAUGAUGGAAAAUAGUAAAGUUUAUACAUAUAUUACAUUUGACUCCCUUAAAAAAUGUUAUUUUUUAAUAUUCAAAAAUCAUUUUUCAAAAAAUAUUUUUGAAACUAUUCCGGAUAGACUUUUUUGUUAAGUUGAAAAUCAAAACAAAAAAAAAAAAACAUGUUUGACCAUAAAUAUCCGUUUUUAUUUUUAAAUAACGUCUUUUAAUUGUUUUUAAUUAUUUUUACUCAAUUUUAUAUAUUAUUUUCACUUAUUUUUAAAAAAUAAUUAUAUAAUUAAAAAUAAAACAUUAAACAUCAAAAAUAUUUUUAAAAAUAUUAAAAACUUUCUAGGUUUCAAAUAGAUUUUUAUUAUAUAAAAUAUCAAAAAAUAAUUCUCAAAAACUGAUUUUUAUAAUCAUUCAUAAAAAUAAUUGUCAAAAAUCCUAAAUAUGAAUUAAAAUGUUUGAGUAAUUAUUUUUAAAUAAGAUAAAAUUAAACGAUAUCAUAAUUAAGAAAUAAAUAAAUACAAUAAAAUAUUUAUCUUAUAAUCUUUUUAAUUAACCAUAAUUUUUGGCAUGCCAUCAAAAAAUAGCUUUAGGUAUCAUAAAAUCAUCCAUGAACAUUAUUUAUUUAUCAUAUUUGGAUAAAAAAUUUGGUGGGAUAUGAGCUUGCCUUAAAAAGGGAGAAGGGAGCAUUAAUAGCACAAAGAAAGGUUGUUUUUUUAUUAAAUUAGUUGAACCUAUUAGCACUCAUUGGCUUUAUAUUUCAUGGUAGUAGAGACUAUGCAAGGAAUUGUUAUUCAUAUCAAUUUCCAACAAAAUUUGAAAAUAUAUUAAUAAUAUUGUAAUGAAAAUAACCAUACUUUUAAAUUUAUAACCCAAAGUUUUAGAUUUUUUUUUUCAUAUUUAUGGGAUUUAUUUAUUUUGAUAAAAUAAAUAAUUUAAUGUUAAAAAUAAUUUUAAGUAAUAAAUAAAAAUAAUUUAUUUAUUUUUAAUUUCAUAUUUUUAUUUGACCUAAUUACCUCUAUGAUUUAUUUUUAUUUUUUUGUUAUUUUUGGGCCUUCAUUAUUACUCCUUCUCCUUUUUCCAAGACUAUAACUUAUUAGGAUUAACUUAUUAAUUUAAAAUAAGUUUCAUGCGGUGCAAAUUUUGGAAAUCAGAUUUCCAUGACUUAACCAUUGUGUUCCUUGCUGAGCAAGAAAUGGUACCCAAUUCAUGGGAUGAAUACCUUCAUUCUGAUUCUCCCUUUUGCUUCAACAGAGAGGAGGAAUAUGCAAAAGGCCUUUGGAUCGGAGAGAAUUUAGAGAUGAAAGCAGAUGGUCAUCCAUGUCAACGGUCAAAAAUCAUGCAGUAGGUUAAGAUGCUACACCGCAAAGGACGCGAACAAAGCCACAUCUAUCGUGCCCAGUGUCCCAUUUUCUCCGACCUUCCCAAGCAAAGCCAAAAAGGAAGAGGCAAGUCACAGCAGAAGCUACAAAAGCAAAAGAUCACUUCCUUCAUCAAGGCCCACUACUCUCUCACAGUCUCUCUCUUAGGGUUUCAAAUUCCACGUCGCCGGAGCGAAAUGGAGGAUGUUGCUCAGGCAGCUGGAGUCGACGCACUGAGUGUGAUCGGCAUGGUCGCCGCCGCCGCUCGUAAGGCCAACACCCACCGGAGGAACUGCGAGAAAAUCUCCAACCAUGCGAGGAUGAUCGGGAACCUGUUGGAGAAGCUGAAUGCGACUGAGCUGAGGAGCUUUCCGGCCACCGGAGAGCCGUUGCAUCUGCUGGAGGAGGCUUUGAGGAAGGCGCUUGUUUUGGUGGAGAGUUGCAGAGACAGGAGCUAUCUCUACCUACUUGCCAUGGGGUGGAGCAUAGUGUAUCAGUUCCGUAGGGUUCAGGAUGAGAUCGAUAGGUAUCUGAAGCUCGUGCCGUUGAUUUCGAUGGUUCACGACCGUCGGAUUCAGGUAUGAACCUGUUUGGUAGAAUGCGUCACUGUCGGUUGAACCGAUAGACACAUUACCGUUUUAUUUCCCGGGAAAAUGAUGGGUAGUAUAGUAACUUUACAAACAAAAGGAACAGUAGAAUGAUACCAUCCUUUCCUUUUCUGAGAAGUUGGUGAAUAUUCAUGAUUUGAAUGUGCAUAUGCUUAAGUAAUAAAAUAUAUAAUUGCCCCUAAUUUUAUAAUCAUUUCAUAGAAUCUGCCAUUGAAUCUGUCUGUUCUCUCAAAGGAACCUAAUCUAUAUGGCUUUUCAUUCUAAUUCCUUCCAAAAAUAGUUUCACAAUCUCAAUCAAUUUUCAUCAAAGAAUUUGUGGGAAUCAUUAUAGAGAUUGUAUUACUUUUCAUAAGAAAUUGGGCACCAUAUGAAGUAGUACCGUGAUGCAGAACAUGCUGCAAGAAUGAAAAAUUUCUGACUGGUUCAAUUGGAUUUUGGAUAAAUUUACACAUUGAAUAUUUUUAAAUGGAUUUUCAUCGAUCAGUUGGUAGUAAUUAAGACUUUGUUAGAAUCUGAAGGAAGGUUUGCAGGCCAUUGAGGCAGACCAUGGAGAAUACACUCUUGAUGGUGAGGAUAUGAUGGCCCAGAAUGUUAUUCUGAAACGAGAUCGUACAAAGAAAGAUGCAGACGUAUUGGAGAAGUCACUGUCUCGCCGAUAUCCUGAUUUGAGAUUCCAUGAGGCUCUCCAAGAAGAGAAAGAGAAGCUGCAGAUUGAGCUACAUCGUUCACAAGUGGACAAUGACCCUAAGCAGUGCCUUGUAAUUGAACAUCUUAUUGAAGUCACUCAAAAUGUUGUUAAUGUUCCAGGUGAAAAGCUUGUUGAUGCACAUGCUUACAUAGGAUCUGGGUAAGUGUUCUUAUACAGUAGUAAGGACGAUUUAGUAAUUUGUGUGCUAUCCGACUAAGUGGUUUUGUACUGAAGGUAUGAAGCCAAUGCCAAAUCUUGCCAUGGGGGCCAUGGUUCACAACCUGAAGAUCAAGACGAAUCUGAGUGGCAGGCUGAUCUUUUUGGCUGUUGCAGGGAGCCUUGUUUAAGUAAGUUCCUGAAUCUAUUUCUUAUUUCUAACAGUUCAAUAGUCAAGUCACACACCAGAUAGAGAUGAUAAUUGUUAUUAUGGUGUCCUCGACACAUGAUGAAUGGUUGAGGCCAUCCAAAUAUAUCAUUCUCAAAAACCAUUGGGUUAACUAAUUUCAAGUGAUCUUAUUGUCCAAUUUUGUGCAUUUCAUUAGAACAUUUCAAACUAGGUAUUGAUAACCAUACUUAAUUCUAGUGUAGAUUUGAAAUACUUUCUAUCUUGAUUGUUGAAUUUUUCUGUUCAUCAAUCUGUUUUAUUUUCUGAUACAGGCUUGAAGACCUGUUUCUAUCCCUGUGGAAUAUUUUCUUUUAUAGCUAAUGUGGUGUCAAAAGGAAAAAUAUGUAAGCUCUCUCAACUGUAAAAUAUAGUUAAUAAUUUAUGUGCCAGUUGAAUUCACAUAUGAAAGAUUCAAUAUAUGAAUACAUAAAAGCUAAUUAACUUGGACAUCAAUCAUUUUUUAUAAACAGGACCCUCCUUUCUGUAAAUAGAAAGAAUCACCUUUUUGAAAUUUGCUUGAUUUCGUUAUCUUUAUCUAUGUUCUACUGUGUUACCUUACUGAAUGUAGAAGCUAGUGAUCCCCCAGCAUGGUUUGAGAUUCUGUUGUUAUGUUACAUAUAUCAUCAAUUUUAGUAACAUUUUCAGGGAAGUUCCUGUAUUUAACCUGUUUCCUUCAACAGUUCAAUUCAUAUUAAUUCUGAUGGCCUGAGUUUUCUUUUUCUCUCAACUACAGCUCGUGAACGUGCAUGUAAUGAGCUAAUGACAUACUCCCUCUUCUGUGGUUGUUGUUGUUACACUUGUUGUGUGAGAAGGAACCUACGGAAACACUUCAACAUAGAGGUAUCUUCUCUCUACUAAGAGGAGCUCUGAGGUUUGAAUUUCUAAAUGAUAUAUUUCCUUUUGUGCCAAGCGUUUCAAUUCAAUGCUUGAAUAAAUUAAUGCAUAAGCAGCUAAUUGAACUUCUGCAAGCUCAGAAAACAAUUGGAGCAAAUAUGGACUUUUGUAGUUUAUGAUUUUAUCUUACAGAUCAAUUGUAUGGCCAUGCCUUCUGUAAGUAGCAAGUUUUGAUGAGGAACGGUGCUUGUUUCUUCUCUUAGACAUCCCUUGGAAGAGAUUGCUGGAAUCAUUUUAUUAUGUUUUUCACUAACUAUAAUCUGCCUCAUUUUAUUUCUUAGGGUGGUUCAUGUGAUGACUUCUUAACUCAUCUAAUGUGUUGCUGCUGUGCAAUGGUUCAAGAGCGGCGUGAGCUUGAACUGAGGAACUUUGAUGGUAUGUGUUGGACUGAUCUUGUCAUCUAUCAUUUCAUAGUUCCUGCUAAUAUUAGGUCCCAAUCUCAGCAAAUAAUCUGUCUUAGCACAUUGGUACUAACUCUCAAAGAUCUCUUCUAUAAAGCACCUGAUUUUAUAAGAUGAUCACCAUCAUUCAUUGAAUUUUUGUGGGUUUCUAGGUUUUUUUUUAUUCUUAUUGUGAAGAAAACUAGAGAAGGAAAAGGGAAAUGCAAAAAGGAAAAUAAAGUUAUGGAAAAAGAAUAACAAGUUUGAGCCUAGUAAAAUAUUUUCUUCUUUCUUUUCCUCACUUUUUAAACAUAAAAUUGGGUUUCCCUCUUCUUCCAUCAUAUUCGCUUUUCCUUGUUAAUUUGCAUCAACCAAGCAAGAGAAAUGGAUUUUCCUUCUUGACUUUUUUCCUCUCAGUCAUAAUUUACCAGAUUCAAACAGAACUCCAUUAGGAUAAGACUUCUUAGAUGUGAACUGUCCAAUGACAAGCCACUUUCACAAGCAUCCUUAGAAUAACUUCUCUCUUCUGUUUUUCUUUUUUUUUUUGGGUGAUAGGUGAGCAUCCUUAGAAUAACUGUUCCCCAUGAUAAUACCAUACUGGGAGUUCUUCUAUUGUUAACUGCAAGCUCAACUCUUUUGCAGGUUGCCAAGGGAGAAAAAUGAUUCCUCCACCAUUCCAAUACAUGAAACCUUGAAUCCCUGCCAUAUCUUGUGAGUUUAAAAUAUAGCUUACAUUCUCGAGUUCCUAACAUGGAGCGUUUAUAUUUCACCUUUAUACUUAGGUAUGAUAUAGCUGUUUACACAUAACCUAUCAAAAAAAAAAUAUAGCUGUUUACACAUACAUAGAUACAAGUAUACAUCUUCCACCCUUUGGGUGUAUAGCUUGUUACACAAACAUAUGCAUAGAGAUAACUUAAGCUUUACAGUUGUCGAGUAGUGUUGAUACUAGCAAUUUAUGGGCACACUGUAAAUAUGAGACGGCGGUCUUGGGAAUUGCAAAUUUUCAGAAGAUAGGCUGGAUGCAAACUAUGGGCUAUGUAAACAGACAAGGAGAAAUGUUAUUGUCAUCUGCCUUUCAAAAUUGCAAGUUGCCAAUGUAGCUUCUGACCUUUUUAUCUCUUUAUAUGAUUGUGAUUUGAGUAUAUUCUGAAAAACAUUAAAUAUAAGCAAAUGCAGUCAAGCCUAAUCAAUAUCACCUUGUAGUUGAAAUGUCAAUCGCUUUUAAUGAACCUACCCUCCAAACUAGAAAGUAAAGGAGACACAAACGUUGCUUUUAGUUCAAAAAGAUAAUUCAUCAGACCCAUUGCAUUUUGCUGUCUGAACAUGGGAAAUACUACCCAUACUAAUAAAGGGAUUAGCAAAAGCCCAAGGGCUUACUUCAUUUUGUACCUACCAUCCAUUUGAUAUGAAAGAAAUAUAAGGCCAAUUUGAUAAUUAUUUUCGAAAACGAUUUUGAAAAACAACUUUUGAGAACAGUUUUUAAAAACAGUUAUUUGAUGUUUUGUAGAAUAAAAUUAUGUUUGAACCUCAAAUGUUUUUAAUCUGUUAAUCAAUUUUUAUCUAAUGAUUUACGUAUUUUCCUUCUGAAACACAAUCAGCUGGAUUUCUCCUUGUAAUUGACUUAAUUGGGAGCAAUUGUAGGCUGUGUGCAGCAUUUAAUUGUAUCCCAUGAUUCCUAAAAUCUGAAUUCCACAGUAAAUGCUGGGGAGACUGCCAAUUGAGAUGAAUAGGUCGUGUUGACUUUGAUUGACUUGAUUCUCUAUCUAAAAUUAUAUUCUCAUUUUUUUUUGUUUAAUUAUACCAGCAUCUCAAAUUUAAAAAAUCAAAUAUUGGUUAUUUGUAUAUUUUCUCUCAAGUUUUAAUCUAGUUUGUAAAUUAUUUUUAAAGCUUAAAUAAAAAAAAUUGAUUAACCCACUAGGAUAGACCAAUGAGGGAAUAUUAGGAAGUGUGGUUCAAUAAAUGACAUAAAGUCUUGAGUUUAAAUUUAUCCAAUAUUGAUUAUUAUAGGGCGAUUAGCACCCCAAGAUUUGGGUCCUAUGAAAAGUUCUAAGGACUUGGUCCGAAUAUGUCAUUCAAUUAAAAUAUAUAUAUAUAUUGGGUCUUAUGAAGAAUUCUAAGGACUUGGCCAGAUAAUGUCAUUCCCUUAAAAAUAUAUAUAUGAUGACAAAAUUUAUAUAUUUAAAUAUAUUAUAAAAUUUUCAUAUAAAUAUACAAGUGAUUGGUAUAUUAUUUUUUUUUUAUCAAAUUUUAACAAAAAUAUUUAAUAAAAUACCUUAUUUAAUAUUUAAUUAUAAUUUAAGAAAAAAUUGUUUAAAAAAAUUGGGCAUCAAAUUAGGCAUAAGUAAAAAUAUAAGGAUGAUUUUUUAUAAGUUAUCUUAAAAAAUAAAAUUUUUAAUAAUAAAAUAUCAUUAUAGAACACAUUGAACAUUCCCCUUCCUUUUUAUGUAUUUCGCUAUAUUAUAAAUGCAUAGCCGUCGGUGUAGCAGACUUCACCAACAUUGGGUGACGACAGACAAAAAACAUCGGGUACUUGCACGGUUGCGUAUGCAUAAUUUCCCUUUCUGGCUGAACCGCGGGUGAGAGGGUCCAUCGGAAUUAAUCUUAUACCGUGAAAGGAAUUGGAUUUUAUGGGCCACUUCAAAACGACGUCGUUUCGAUCAACAGAUGGUCGUCGUUUUCAAAUUCAGCACGCACGAAUAUAGCUCGAGAAAUUCGCGAAAAAUAACAUAAAAAUAAAAAAAACUAAAACAGGAAAAAUAAAAUUAAAAAAAGAGACGAUUCAAAAUGGCGUGAGAGUGAGAAGAUCGCCAUAGUCCCAGACUCUAGAGUCCACCGAUCUGGUGGAGUAGGUCGCACAGUCACUGCGGUGGAUCAUCAUCUCCGCCUCCAUUGACGAGGCUUCUUGAUCUGCUACGCCUACUCUUCUCCAUUGAUGAUUACGUGAGUUGAUUUGGUUCUUCGUUUUUUUUUCUUAAAUUAUUUUUUCGCUAAUUCUUGAUUGAAUUUUAAUAAAUCGGAGAUCUGGAAGUUCGGUUUUCGUUUUUUGUGAUUUCAUCGUAAGACAAUGUGGUGAUCUGUUUGGUCGCGAGAAAAUCCUGAGGGGAAGAGAAAGGAAGAUAGGAAUUUUGCGUUCUACAAUUUUGAAUCAACUAGGUCUGGUAAAACUAGUUGGCGUAGUUUGAGUCCAAUAUCGCACUUUUUUAAGAAACCAAAACUGAUUGAAAUUCUAUAUGUAUUUUUUUAUUCUAGGAAAAUUUGCAAUGAGGUGAGAAGAAGAUUUGUAAUAAUAUUGAUAAUGAAAAAACCGAAAAAAAUUGAACGUGCGGUCUCGUUCUGAAUUGUGUGGUUGUUCGGUUGAAGAUCUUAUGUAUAACUAAGCUUAUAACUUUGGUCAUAAGCUCUGUUUGUUUGGACAAAAUACUUUCUGGGAAAAUUUAGAUUUUAGGUUUAAAGGGGAAAUUUUCCUUUUUCCAACAUCUAACUAAAUAGCCGAGAUAAAUGUUUGGCUAAAUUGAAGAAGCCGUAAAUGGAAAGAUGUUUCCAGGGAAAAAAAUUUCCUCUUAACUAUUUCUGUCAGGAAAAUAUGAAAAACUUGAAAUUGUAGGAUGAUACAUUUUUUUUUUUAAUUUAAAUGUGUUUUUUCCUUUUGUGUUUGUGUUAUACAACUAAUGAGUUCCUGUUAUUCAAUUUUGCAGUCUUUGUACUCUCAAGUAGCACCUCAGUUGAAGGAUUCAUUAAAUUUAUUGUUGUAUUAGCUCCAUAAAGCACCAUGUUAAGAGGGGGCAUGUAAGUGUUUUUUCGCAUAUUCAGGCAUCAAACCUCCAGGAUGAUAUUUUACUGUUCUAGUAAUUGUUAGAUUUUUGCAUAAGAUGGUUUUCAGUAGAAUUGCAGAAAUUAUUUCUGCCUCAGCUAGUCGCUUUUCAGCUCCUCAGUCUUCUACAAUCCCAUAUGUGUCAUCUGGGUUAUCCCCUCAGGCAGGUUCUGGUCAUGGUUUUGGUUUUCCCAGCACUGGACAGAAGAGUAAUUUGCGACUCUCCUCAUCCCUCCAAGAUUUCUCAGCAUAUCGUCGACUGAAUCUAGAAGAAGGUGAUCUCAGCCUUGAGGCUGAUAGGAGUCUAAUCCUGGCAAAACAACCUCAUCCCUUACAAGGAGAAAAUGGUGGGUUAAGUUUUUCUAAGGAAAAGGGACUGCCAGCAAACCCAUUUGUUCGGAAGAAGUGGGUGCGAGCCCUCAUGGUUCUCCUGUGUCUACUGUUAUUUGCUUCUCUUAUAUAUAUUGUUUCAAUAUACUUUUAUUCUAACUGGUCUCAAGAGGCAUCCAAAUUCUAUGUUGUACUUGAUUCUGGGAGUACUGGAACUCGAGCUUAUGUAUAUAAAGCAAACAUUGCUCACAAGAAAGAUGGAAGUUUCCCCAUUGUAUUGAGAUCAUUUGUGGAAGGUCCUAAAAAAAAACCAAGUUCACAGAGUGGGCGUGCUUAUGAUCGAAUGGAGACGGAACCUGGACUUGAUAAGUUGGUGAAUAAUGUAUCUGGCUUGAAAGCUGCAAUAAAACCUCUUCUUCGAUGGGCAGAGAAACAAAUCCCCAAGCAUUCACAUAAGUCUACUUCUCUCUUCCUUUAUGCCACAGCUGGUGUACGCAGGCUGCCGAAAUCUGAUUCAGACUGGCUUCUUAACAAUGCACGAUCCAUAAUGAAGGAUUCGCCUUUCUUGUGCCAUGAAGAAUGGGUUAAGAUCAUCACUGGCAUGGAGGAAGCUUAUUUUGGAUGGAUAGCUCUUAACUAUCACACUCGUACAUUAGGGUCCUCACUGAAACAAGCAACAUUUGGUGCACUUGACCUGGGCGGCUCAUCAUUACAGGUUACUUUUGAGAGUAGGAAUCAUGUGCAUAAUGAAACUAACCUAAGUGUGAAAAUUGGAGCUGUUAACCAUCAUCUAAAUGCCUAUUCUCUAUCUGGAUAUGGUUUGAAUGAUGCCUUUGACAAGUCUGUGGUUCAUCUUCUCAAGAAGCUUCCUGAAAGUGCUAAUGCAGAUCUACUUAAUGGGAAAAUAGAACUCAAGCAUCCUUGCUUGCACUCUGGUUACAAAAAGCAAUAUGUCUGUUCUCAUUGUGCUUCUCGCUUCCAAGAAGGUGGGAGCCCUCUUGUUGGAGGAAAAACCUUGGGCAAAGGAGGAAAACCAGGAAUUGCCAUCCGGCUUAUAGGUGUACCAAAAUGGGAUGAAUGCAAUGCCCUUGCAAAAAUUGCUGUAAAUUUGUCAGAAUGGUCGGCUCUAAGUCCAGGGCUUGAUUGUGAAGUACAACCUUGUGCUCUUUCUGAUAACUCACCUCGUCCUUAUGGCAAGUUCUAUGCAAUGUCUGGCUUUUUUGUAGUGUAUCGGUUUUUCAACUUGACUUCAGAUGCCACGCUUGAUGAUGUAUUGGAGAAAGGUCAAGAAUUCUGUGCAAAAACCUGGGAAGUUGCAAAGAAUAGUGUUGCUCCACAGCCCUUCAUAGAACAAUACUGCUUUAGGGCACCGUAUAUUGCUUUAUUAUUGAGAGAGGGUUUGCAUAUUACGGAUAACCAAGUAACUAUUGGUCCUGGGAGUAUUACCUGGACACUUGGGGUUGCCCUGUUGGAAGCUGGGAAUUCUUUUUCAGCUAGGAUUGGGCUUCCUAGAUAUGAAAUACUCCAAAUGAAGAUAAAUCCAGUUAUUCUCUUUGUAGUUUUGGCUGUUUCAUUGUUUUUUGUGUUUUGUGCAUUAUCAUGUGUUGGCAAUUGGAUGCCAAGAUUUUUCCGUAGGCCACAUCUCCCGCUCUUUAGGCAGAACAGUGCAUCUACUACAUCAGUUCUAAAUAUAUCAUCUCCUUUCCGGUUCCAGGGUUGGAGUCCUAUCAGUUCAGGUAAGCUCUUCUUCAACACUGGUGAGUUGUGCAUAAUUCUUAAGCAUUGUGAAAUAAUACCAGUAUAUAUUCACUACAAUCCCUGAAAAUCAUUUCUUAUUCUGUGCUUUUACUAUUCUUAGCUGCUCAUAUAUUUUUGCUCUGUCAUUUCCUAGAAGGGAAAAGAAGUAUGCUUAACUUCUGGAUUUUGUAGCUUUCCUCCCAAGAAAUCUUCUCAUGCAAGAGACCAAAACACGUAUAAUGGAAUGUUUGAAGACUGUAAAGAGAGUCCUCCCAAUCUGAACAAUGCAAUGGGAUAUUAAAUUUGAUGCAUGAUAACAUCCAGAUCAAAGGCUUAUCUUUAACAUUUUAAGAUCCUAAUUCUUUUUAUUAGCAUGAUGCAUCUCAAGAGUUCUGUUUGAGCAUCAUACAAAUCUCAGGAAUCAAUCACCUUAUCCCAUCCUAUAUCGGUUUAAUAGACAUCUGAUAAAUGCAUAGAUACAAGCAUACAGACAUGAUAUCCUUUUAUUUACUAGACACAUACAUAUGCACAAGCAUAUUUUGUGGGUGCAUGAUUUUGAACCAGACUAUUAUCAUUCACAAAAAUUUAAAAGCAUUUGAUGGGUUCAUACAGCUUGUCCAUAAAAAAUUUAAAGAUCGUUUAGAUAAUAAUUCUAAGCUAAAUAUGUUUGGCAUAAAAUAGGAGAAUAUCAGGCUCUUGCCAAAGUACUGCUGCAUAUAGUUUCCUUCUUCCAUUGAACCUUUUAACGAAUUCUUUUGCAUUUCCAUGAGUGAGACCUUAGUUUCUCAUUACCAUGUUCCACAAUCCUAACACUUGUGCAUUGUUUCUCAUGUUCAUGGAGCUUUUUGUUUCUUUUACACCUUAUUUCUUGUUUAUUUCAUUAUUCCCUUCCCAUGGUCGCUAUAACUAUUUUGUUGUUAAUUUAUUUGUCCUUGUUUAACUUCUCAGGUGAUGGAAGGGUGAAGAUGCCUCUGAGUCCAACAAUAGCGGGUGGCCAACACAGACCAUUUGGCACAGGACAUGGUUUCAGUGGCAGCAGCAUCCAGCUUAUGGAGUCUUCCUUAUACCCGUCAACUAGCAGUGUCUCACACAGUUAUUCCUCGGGCAGCUUGGGGCAGAUGCAAUUUGACAAUAGCACCAUGGGCUCCUUCUGGUCCCCUCACCGAAGUCAGAUGCAUCUACAGAGCAGGAGAUCACAAUCACGAGAAGAUCUUAAUUCUUCAUUAGCUGAGUCACACCUGGUGAAAGUUUAGAGGAUGCUUCUCAAGAAAUUUUGGUAUGAUCACUUGUUUCUUCUCCAAAUACAAUUUUCAUACAGAAAGAUCAAAUCAAGGUAUUAUUUUUUUGUACCAUAGAGAAUCCAUGUCCUCUGAGAAGUAGAUUGACCACUUAGAGACUUGAUCUUUGAUUGUUUCUCUGUUACAUAUAUUUUUCUAACAUCCUUCAAAUAUAUUACUAGGCACUCGACUUCUUUAAGAAUUAUGGCUUUCUCCAUGAACCUUUCCCAUAAUCAUAAAGCCUGAACUGCUCUUAUUCACUCGGAAUACAUCCAUUUUCUUGUGUACGAGAUUGAAGCAAACACAAGGCAUGUAGAAAGGAGGCCAAAAACCCUUCCCAUCUUCAGUUCUCAUCAGCAUUGUUUCUUCUGGUGCCUCAACUUUGGACUCAUAACAUUUGACUACCAUUAUGUGGUAUAGACAUAUAGCUGCAGCCAGUAUCCCAUUAUUCAUUAGUUGACUCUCUUCCCAAGCCACCCUCCUUUACGUCAGUAUGUAAUCAACCAUAGUAAGCUUUCUUUCAACAUUGAUAUCAUCCUUGAGACUAUAAAUCUUUGAACUGUCUAACCAUCAAACAAUAUCUCACUUGCUGUCCUUUAAAAGCCUUAAUAUAAAUAAUCGUUCUUCAGGGUCUCAUUUUAGCCUAUAUAUGAUCAAUUUGCCUCAGAAUAGGUUGUCUUUUUAUCACGUUAAUCUCCAAGCAAAUUAUAUUGCUGAAGCAAUUCCACAAUGAUGUUUGUGUGGACCAAUCUGGAGAAAUAGUGGUAGAGUAAGCAACAACUAUAAUUCUCACAUGGAACAGGACAGCAAGAUUCAUAUUACAUUUUCUAGUUCAUGUGUCUUUUACUCAUCUUUUUGCCCUUUUUUUGGGGCUUUUUGAAUUGGAAAUUUUGCCGUACUUUGUUGCCUGUAUCUGUGAAUGGAUCCUCUGUUCACUUUUGUGAACUGGGAAGUCUUUUCAUUUGUGUAGACCAAAGUGUUUCUCCAUAAACUGUUAAAUAUUUUUAAUUUUAGAAAACGAGUCAGUGCCUGACAGGAUUGGUUCAAUGGUUAGUUCUGAAACGCAAGAAGGAAAUGAUUAAGAGUGUGUUCGAUAGUGAUUUUAAGAAGUGUUUUUAGUAUUUUUAAUAUUUGAAAAUUUUUAUCUUUCGAAUAUUAAAAAUACUAAAAAUAUUUCUUAAAAUCACUGUCAAAUACAUUCUGAAUAUAAAGAAUAUAAAGGGAAAUGGUUGUUUUGAUGUUCGAAUAUCAUGGAGCACAGAAAGGUAAAAAGAAAUCCCAAGGAUGAUAAAGAGUGUGAAAAAUACUAAUGCUAUAUAAUUUUUUUUAAAAAUAAAAUAUAAUUAAAAUUAAUUAAAAAUUUAUAUAUUUUAAAAUUAUUUAAUCUUUAAGUAUAAAAAAACUAAAUGUAAUGAAUUUGAAAAAACAUAUAAAAAUAAUUUUGAAAUUUUGAAAUUUUUUUUUUUUCACUCUAAUUUCUUUUUCUCACGUGUUUUUGAAUCAAACAUGGUAUGAAAGUUUUAUCUUUUCAUUUCAAAGGUGUGGAAUUCAGAACUUGUUCUGAAAUGACUCCUUAAAACAGUUUUUUUUGUUUUUUCAAAUAGAACUCAAUUUCUAAUUUAAAGCAUGUUCCAUGAAUGGUUUACUAAAGUUAUUUUGUUGAGAUUUUGUUCCAAAAACGGUUAAGAUUAUUUUUUUGAAAGCAAAUUUAAUGAGAAAAUUGUUUAUCUAUAUUUAACAUUCCAAAUAAAAUUUUAUUUUUCAAAAUGACUUUAAAACUGCUUUAAGAAUUAUCUUAAAAAUAUUAUCAAUUUUUCUUUCAGAAAAUCAAAUAAGAUGAAUUUUUAAAAAGGGGAUGUCGCAUUAUCCAUUGAAGUUAAAAACAAUUCUUAUGAAACACUUGCAAUUAGGUUUCAAUUUUGAACUACAAAUAAAACCCAAAUGUGAAAUUGAUAUAUUUUCAAAACUUUUACAACUUGGAAUAUUCUGUAGCAUAUGCUUCUGUUCAAUAUUCCUUUUUCAAUCUUAUCCACUCUACCUUGAAUUAUAAUAUUUAUAUGCAAAUUUCCGUUGAAGCCAGCCACAGAAAAGGCCAUUGACAUCGUACACUUGUACCCCCUUUAUCUACACGUAUCCGAAACUUCGAGUAGAUGGGAUCUUUCCUAAGAGCCCCACAUGGAAGUGAUGGAACAAAGGCUAAAAACGAGUUGAACCAAAAAAAAAAAAAAAAAACCCUAGAAGCUUUAAUCGGUGUAGAUCGGACUCUCCCAAUUGAAAGAGACAAAAAACAUGAUGUGACAUGCAUGAAAAGAGCCACCGAGCUCCAAGCACCAUACCCAUUGUGAGCCAAACAUGAAUGAAAAUCAUCAAAAAUUACAUAUGGUAAUGAACCAAAGGGUCCCGAGUUCAAGCCUUUCCCUAAUACUUAAGUGGUAUAGAGGAUAGAUUGGGUGAUUAGAAAGGAGUUGACGGGUUUUAUUUCUCUAUUCAGAACAAGUAGGGGGUUCUCUGGUCGCCUUGGGGGCAUAACCAAUACCAAUGUACACACUGCAUACCAUCUUUUUAUUUCUACAGUUACUCAAAAUAUACUAUAACAGUAUGUUAGAAUAAUGGCCGAACACAAUUUCGGAUGCCCCAUAUGCGUUAUGCUUCUACAUCAGAACAUAUGGGAUUGAAGCAGCAAAUUCAUGUUCUGGCGGAAAAAAAUUUGUCAACACGAGGGAUAGGCUCAAUCCAACAUGGGAGUCGGCUCAAUCCAAUAUGAGAGUCGGCUAAAAGGACGAGCUGGUUGUGGCUGAGAAUCAAGUGAGGGAUGCGUUACCAACAAGAAAAACGAAUGUAAGAAUCGUUCCUUCUUUUGUUUGAAAAUCAAAUUAUAAGUCAACUUCGAGAGACCGGGUAUCAUCAUUCCUCUGUGAGAAGAGCCAAUGGAACAGUUGUGAUAACUUACUCGUUGCAGGCUUCUGCUCAGGUUUUUCCAACUUGACAUUGCAGACCGCGUAGUACUCGUGCUUCAUGUGAGGAGUGACUAUUCUUUCCUGAAGAAUGAUAUGGAAUUUCUCAAUAAGGAGCAGGCCACCACUUGCAAUUUUAAAAAUUAAAAGGGUUUUGGAGUUGGAUGAAAGGGAGUACCUUGAAAACCUCGAACGGACACAGAUCAGAAUUAUCACAACCCUAUUGAAAGCAACACAAAACAUCAGUACCACAAGGAUAAACGAGCAAAGGGUUUGCUGAAGAACAUAACAAAGAUAGGAAUUUGGGGCAAAAGAAGAACAAUUGUAACCAUGUAAAAGUUGAUUAGACAAAAGGUGAGAGUAAAAUCUGUAAGAUUCACUGACAAUUGGACCAUGUAUGUAUAAAACAGCAUGGAAUUGCAAGUCUAUCUUGUAUGGUCUAAAAAUUUCUAUUUUUGCAGGUUUAAAUUCUCCAACUAUGAAAUAAUUCUAUUAAAAGUAAAAAUGAUGAUGCUGACAUUCAAAAGUUUUCAAUACUUAUAUGGAACAAAGAUAAUAAACUAAAUAGUAGAAAGAUGAACUGUGAUGAGACUCAAGAGAGAAGACAUCAUGACAACUUGAAGCAUGUUGUGAAUUAAGGCUUACAGGCAUUGGAAUGGGGUGUUCAUUGUGCAGUACUUGCACAAAGUACUUGCUUGAAGAGUUGGCAGGACAACUGUAUAAAACCAACAUGUUAUUCCCAGCAAAAGGUGCCACUGUGCUGCCCCUCCAAUUUCUUUUCUGGGGAGGCUUUGGAGGGUAUUGCAGGGGUUCUUCUCUUUGCAUUUGUUUAAAUUCUGAAAUAUUCAGCAGUUAACACCUAAGAAGACAACAUACAGCAAAGUAUACAAAGAAUAGUGGUGGUAGACAGCCAGUAUUUGCAUGCUUAUCAUAUAUGGUUCAUACACAGUUUACUAACAAAAGCACUCACCAGACUGCUCCAGAAAGAGCCCAAGAAGACAUGAGAAUGGAACCACAGUCUCAGCAUGGGCAAACCGAAGUCUUGCCUUUUCGUAACUGCCAGGAGCAUAGUUUUCUACAUGCAUAGAAGGCAAAGGCAACUAUAAUAUAAGGCAGGAACAAGUAUUAUGUCUUUAAUAUAAUGCAUUUUGUGAAGUGAUGAUUCAACUAGCAAAGAAAUGACAUAGCUGCUGAUAUAAUCCUAAAUAGAUUAAAUACCAGGAGCAAGAGGAGAAUAAUCUCCCAGUAACUCAGAGAGAGAAUAUUCUGUGAAUAUUUGGAGACAGCACUAUAGCAUUUGAAAUAACAACAGCCUACUAAUUUCACAAUUAUACAAUGCAGAUGAUAUUAAUUAUUAAUAGACAACAUCUAUGGCUCAAAUCCGGAAGUUAUUGAUUGCCACAUAUUAUUGGAAUCUGUGAGGGCACCUGAUAGUAUCAGAUUACAGCCCCUGCCUAGCCACCAAAUUCUAUGCCACCAAAGACAAUUGGGAAACAGCAGUUCAAUUGACUACCAAUCAAGCUGCUCCUUUGCGUCAUAACCCACACUACAUUUCAAACCUCCAUGCAAAUAGGAGGUAUUGGAUUGAAGGAUACAACAUCCAAGAGUAAAAUACACCCAAAAGCGUAGCAAAAAGAUCAGAUGAUUUAUGUUACCUUCCUUUGCUUUAAUAGCUUGCUCCAUGGACUGAAAAACAUCUUUAAGCAAUGGCACUCCCAUUUGGUAGUUUAGAGAUUUACCAUAACCCUUCAAUAUAAACAGCUCCAAAUCAUCUGUCCACUCCAACAAAGCAACCUAACCAUGUUGAUUUGGUUCCCAAGUUAGUAGCAAUAUAGCAUGGGAAAAACAAGGGUUCUUAAACUUGCAUCACUUAGCUAGUAUUAGUCUUUGCAAACCAACAGACCCAACAAAAGAAAAAGGAGGCACUCAUAUCAGAGGCAUAACAUAAAAACAUGUGUACCUCAGAAGGGCUGAAAAGACCACAAGCUUGAUCAGUUAUGUCCAGUAAGGAUGCUUCCUGCCAAGUUGUAAAACAUAAUAACACAGUGGAGAAAAGAAAAAAAAAAAGGAAGAGAGAGAGAGAGAGAGAAUAAUUAACAGACAUGAGAGGAUAGAAUUCUUCUGUCACAAAAUAAAAGGUACAAGAACGGAUAGUAAUCACCUGUUUGCACAAAAACCAGAGAGAAGACGUAUCCUGUCUGGUAAAAUUCAGCCCAUAACGCUUCCUUAAUGUAGCAGUAAUCUCAUCAAAGAUGGGUUCUUUGAGCUCAUCAACAGCAGGCUCCUGACUUUUCCUAAAAUCCUGCAUCCAUAGAUCCUUCAUAAUUAAAACCAAAGCAAUAAAUGUGCAUCAAAACCUGAUUAAGAGCAAGCUUUAACAAAUGAAUCCUCAACUGCCUGCUUCAGACUACUUUGACUUGUCAGCUAUACAGAUAGGUGAUGGUCAACAGUCUUGAGAAGCAAACAUAACCUCUAUAUAUAAUGUAAAGAAGGAAAACAUUACACAUGUACCUUGUAGUUUUGACAACAUUCAAAAAACCUCAGCAGUAUAUCACUGGCACGGCUCUCACUGGUAACGGCAAAAGCUCGCUGAUGCCCUGGUCCAAGACUUCCCCUUCCACUGAACAAUCCCAUCCCAAAUGCCACAGCACUAGCUGAUGCCCGAGGGACCUGUCUCAUGUGAAUGGAAAGAGCUAUGUAACACUUCUAACAGAAAAAGGACAACAAAAAAAUUAAGAUUGCAGUUACUGUGACCCAAUCAACCUUGAUUGGCAUGAGGAAGACUCAACAUAGAAGGAAGAGUAUAGGUAUUUAUGUUAACAAAAUUCAAUUAGCUGCCAAAACAUUCACCAUGGCAGUCUCCAAAAUGACAGUAACAUGGCAAAUAGACUAAUUUUUCAUCAUUUCUAAUGUAAGUUUCAACAGGGGGUCAAAGUGUAGAGACAUUUCAACUGAAGGGGAAAACCAAAACAGGACUAACCUGGGUUGCUUUUAUUGUAAAUACAUCUGGGUGGUAUUCCUCAUUAAACAAAUCUGGAAAUCUUUCUCGAAUUCUGAUUGCUAGAUGAUACAGUUCAAUUUCUCCAACAUCAGUAAGUUCUCCACCUGUUACCUUCCCCUUCCAAGGAGAUUUCCAACCCCAUAACCAGGCAGGAACUUUCUUCAAAGACAAAUUCUGUUCUUUCACAUCUCUUAGAAGUGAUUCUAGAUGAGUGGCCAAAUUGUCUAGUUCUCUCAUCCGUUUCUUGGUAGGAGAACGAGUCCCAUGCCUUGCCUGUGAAUUUGAAAUGGGAUUAGAAUUUUCCUUGCUCAUGAAAACAUAGAAAAGAAUUUCAUAAUAUAGAAUCAGUAAAUCAUCCUAACAUAAAGAACAAAGAAAUGUAGAAUUGCACAUAAAAGUAUUUCCCAUGGUAACUCCCAUAGAAAAUAUUCUAGCAUAUGAAUCAUUACUGUAAAUAGCACACACAAAUGUAUUUAACCAGAACACAAAAGAAACACCAUAAACAAAUUUUGUGCUUCUUUUCUAAACCUGAGGCAAUUUCCACUUCUAGAAUAGAUAUCACAAGUUCAUAUAACACAAGUUCCAACUAAAGACAUCCCUUUAGAUGUGGAGAUGUGGACUUGAAUGUCAUAAAUUUCAGUUCUAAACGAAUUAGAGAGUGGUUAAAAGAUAGAGGAGGUCACACACGAUGAGUGUAAUUCAUGCAAUAUUACUAGAUCAUGCAAUGGACAAAACUUCUAAAUCAUUGACUCUAUUCAAGUUUCACCAAAAUUUAUAUCUGCAAUUUUCAAUUGUCUAUCUACAAUUUAUCCAACAUUCUCAAAGCAUCAAAUCUUCACUACAAUUUGCUUUUGUGUCACCAUUAAGACUAUGAAGGAGACAUUUAAAAGACGAAUGCGAGCAUUAGAAACUGGGUGAAUAGGCAAAGAUGGCUUUUGAAAUCAAUGAUAUUACUUUUCAAAAUUUGAUGUUACAUUAUUUAUGUCAAUAAUGUUGGUCUGACAGAGAUAUACCAAGAGUCAAACUAAAUGACCAAAUAAGUAAAUUUUCACUAGCAAUCGAAGUUCCUGAGGAUGAUUACCACAAGAUUUAAGUGGAUGGGACUGCACCCAUCUGGAACUUUAGAAGGCACAAAGGCACUGUCAGCAAUAUCUUUCACAGCACCAUAUCUGCACAUACAAACAUUGCAAAUUUUAAGCAUCUGAGACAGUACAAAAACAUAAAUCUAGAUGCCAUUCAGGAACCCAGAAUAAUUUGACCAUGGAAAAUGAUGAGUUUCACAAACCAAAUCAACAAAUUGAUUCUCUCUACUGUGUUGGUGGUGUCAAUUUUUUAAAAAACAAUGGAAAUAGUUACUGAAGGCUCUAAACAGCAUUAUUCUUCAAAUAUUUGCCUCAGUGGAAGUGAAUUCUGCAUUUUCUUUGAAAUGGUGACAACAUAAAAACACAUAGAGGGGUGCCUGCUGGCUUCUUUCCUAGCACUAAGGGACUUAGACAAGGAGAUCCACUAUCUCCUUAUCUUUUUGUUAUGGGAAUGGAAGUGCUAGAUGUUCUCAUUAGGAGAGCCGUGGAGGGGGGAUUUUUAUCAGGGUGUAGCAUUCGGGGUGGCAGUAGAUCCUCUUUGAACAUCUUCUAUUUAUUUUUUGCUGAUGACACAAUUGUGUUCUAUGAGGCAAGCAAGGAGCAUCUAACUCACUUAAGUUGGAUUUUCCUCUGGUUUGAAGCUGCUUCAGGUGUAAGGAUUAACUUAGCCAAAAGUGAAAUUAUUCCAGUUGGAGAGGUAGAGGAGAUUGAAGAGUUGGCAGUUGAGUUAGGCUACAGGGUGGGAUCCUUGCCCUCUCAGUAUUUGGGUGUUCCUCUAAGGGCUCCUAAUAGAGCUCCUUCUAUGUGGGAUGGGGUGGAAGAGAGAGUAAAGAGGAGACUUGCACUUUGGAAACGGCAAUAUAUUUCCAAAGGGGGAAGAAUCACACUCAUAAAAAGUACUUUGGCUAGCAUGAAUCUAUCAAAUGUCUAUUUUCAGAAUGCCCAAGAUUGUUGCUAGAAGACUAGAGAAAGUGCAAAGGGAUUUCCUGUGGGGAGGGGGAAACUUGGGGGGGAAAAUCCAUCUAGUUAAUUGGGAGGUGGUUUGUACAGACAAGGACAAGGGUGGACUAGGCCUAAGGAAGCUAGCCAUAUUGAACAAAGCCUUGCUUGGCAAGUGGAUGUGGAGGUAUGCUUGUGACAAAGAUAAUUUUUUUUUUUGAUCAAUAAGUAUAAGAUUGUAUUGCAAAGAGGCGCUAAAGAAGCGACCCACCAAAUUACAGUAUAAAGGGACUUACCCCCUUACAAAAGGGCCCAAACAUCAAAGGACAAGGCAAAACAAAAAAACCUCUCCCUUAACGCAUACACACCCAGUCUAUAAAAUCUAUUAAGGUCGAAGGACCAUCUUUUAUCCACAAUUUGGAUUCCGACCACAAAAAAUACACAAAAGAUGCUUUCAGCCUUUGAAUGGACAGCCCACAAUCCUCAAAUGCAAUUGAAUUUCUAGCCUUCCAAAUAACCCAAAACAAGCAUAACGGUCCCAAUUGCCACGCCACCUUCCUUUUCUUUCCCACAAAGGACCCCCUCCACCCUAAAAGGGUUUCCUUGACCAAACGGGGGAAAACCCACGAAACACCAAAAAAGGAAAGGAACACCAUCCAUACUUCCCUCGUUUUUUCACAAUGGAUAAGAAGGUGGUCAAUUGUCUCCUCACUCUUAUGGCAAAGAAAACAUCUAUUUGCCAUAACCCAACCUCUCUUUUGCAAGCGAUCCAAGGUUAGGACUCUCCCCCAAGAAGCCUCCCACGCAAAAAAGCUCAAUUUGGGCUGCACACAAGAGUUCCAUAUAAUUUUUGAAGGGAAAAAAGCAAGAGACCCCGACUACAUGGUCUUAUACAAAGAUUUCACCGAGAAAUCCCCAUUCUUUGAUGCCAUCCACUUCACCUUAUCCUCCUCAUCCCCCCUAACCUUCUUCCCCUCCAAGCAACAAAAUAGCCUUUCCACUUCUUCCAACUCCCAAUCGUUGAAAGGUCUAUUGAAACAAGGGUUCCAACUUCCCCCUCGGCUGUCCACACUUCAUUUACCCAAGCCUCUUUGUUCGAAGCUAAAGCAAAUAAAGAAGGAAAAACCUCGCUCAAAGGAAUGGUUUCACACCAUUUAUCUUUCCAAAACUUCACUUUCUCACCAUCACCCACCACAAAGCCAACAAAAGGGGUCACUUGAUGUCCCAUUUUACUUAUUGCCUUCCACAACCCAAACCCGUAGGCCUCCCUAGGCUCACAAGAUCUCCACCCUCCUCUUUCCUCCCCGUAUUUCCCUUUGAUCACUUGGUUCCAAAGAGCCUUUCUUUCAUUUUCAAAACGCCACACCCAUUUGCCAAGGAGAGCCCUAUUGAAGGCCCCAAGACUCUUAACCCCCAACCCUCCGCUUCUUUUGUCUAAACAUACAAUUGACCAAUUUACUAAAUGUGGUUUUUGCACAAGAGCCCCGCCACCCCACAAAAAGUCCCUUUGAAUCUUCUCCAAUCUGAUUCUAACCACUCUAGGCAUCUGGAAAAUCGACAUAAAAUAAAUCGGUAAAUUUGACAAUGUACUACGCACUAGAGUAAUCCUCCCCCCUUUUGAAAUAUACUGACGUUUCCACAUAGCCAAUUUCUUUCUGAAUCUUUCUUCUAUUCCAUCCCACGCUGCAACGCUUUUAAACGGGGCACCUAACGGCAUUCCUAAAUAAGUGGAAGGCAGUUUUCCCACCUUGUAACCAAACUCAUCAGCCAACUCAUCCACAUUCUCGGCUCUACCAACUAGAAUCAGCUCACUUUUCUCCAGAUUUACUCUUAACCCUGAAAUUGCCUCAAACCACAUUAACAACCAGCCCAUAUACAAUAACUGAUCCUCCUUUGCUUCACAAAAUAUCAGCGUAUCAUCAGCAAACAACAAAUGUGAUAUCUGGACCCCUUCGCCUCUUCUUCCCUGAAUCAAACAAGGCGCCAAAAACCCCCCAACCACUGCCUUCUUUAUCAAAACACUGAAAGCCUCCAUCACCACUACAAAAAGGUACAGCGACAGGGGGUCUCCUUGCCUUAACCCCCUUGAGCUUUGGAAAAAACCCGUAGGGCUUCCAUUCACCAUAACUGAGUACCUAACAGUGGAUAGACACCACUUUAUCCACCUGCACCAUCUUUCCCCAAACCCCAUCUUCUCCAUCACUGCUAAAAGAAAAUCUCAAUCCAUGUGAUCAUAGGCUUUCUCAAUGUCUAAUUUACAGAGAAUCACCCCUCUAUUGCUUUUCACAAUGGAGUCAAUUGCCUCAUUAGCGACCAGCACUGCGUCCAUAAUCUGCCGUCCCUCCACGAAAGCGUUUUGGGACGUUGAGAUGACCUUGGCUAAGACACCCUUCAUUCUAUUAGCCAACACCUUAGCUAGCCACUUAUACAACCCUCCCACCAAGCUAAUUGGCCUAAAAUCCUUCAAGUCCUCUGCCCCCCCUUUCUUAGGAAUCAACACUAGGAAAGUUGCAUUCAAACUUCUUACAAAGCUCCCGGUCUCAUGGAAUUGCCUAAAGAAGUUCAUGACCUCUUCUUUAACAAAAUCCCACAAAAAUUGCCAAAAAGCCAUUGAAAAACCGUCAGGGCCUGGCGCUUUCUCGCCACAACAGCCUGACAAAGCCCUAAAAAUUGUAUUUCUAUCCCCCUCUUUCAGCAAAAUUUCCCUGGACUUCUGCCUCCAUGACGUUUCUUCUAAAAGGACCCACUUCUUAUACAUCUCUCUUGCCUCCUUCCUAGCUUCUUCCUCUUCCAAGGACAAUUCGCGAACCCUCUCUUCCUUGUCCCAGAAAUCCAAUGAAUUCCAAGCCUCUUGCUUCUUAACCUUAAUCUGUCCGAAAACCUCUGUGUUCCAUUUUUUCAGAGUCGGCUUUAAAGCCUUUAAUUUCUCGCUCAAAAUGUAACUGGCUGUCCCUCUAACUUGGAUCCCCUCCCACCAAUUCCUCAGCACCUCUUUGAAGCCUUCCUCCUUCAGCCACAUGUUCUCGAAUUUGAAAGGUGUGGGCCCUCUCCUCAUCCCCCCUCCAUCAAGAAUAAUUGGAGAAUGAUCUGAUACUGGUCUAGCCAAAACACCUUGAAUACACUCCCGAAAAUGAGCUUCCCAAUCUUCAGAGAUAAGAAACCGGUCAAUUCUCGAUUUUAAGAGAUUAUUAAAACCUCCACUCCACGUGAACAUCCCCCCCUGAAGAGGCAAAUCCCUUAACUCUAACUCCUUUAUCACUUCUGUGAAUCUCCGCAUUGAUGGGGACAGGCGACCUCCUCGGCUCCGCUUAGAAGGGAAUCUUAUCAUGUUGAAGUCGCCAGCAACACACCACGGUUCGUUCCACAGCCCUUUGAUGGCCCCCAAUUCGCUCAGAAACUCCUCUUUCUCCACCUUCACAGAGGGCCCAUAAACUCCUGAAAACGCCCAGCAAAAACCAUCCUCAACAUUCUUGAACCGACAAGAAACUGAAUAAUUGCCCACCUCCAUUUCCUCCAACUGCAGCACCCUAUUGUCCCAGAACACCACCACCCUCCCCGCCGCACCCCUUGAAUUCAAAGCCCCCCAUUCCAGACAUCUUCCUACCCCUAAACUCCUCACAAUUGCACUCGUCAUCUCCUGCAAUUUUGUUUCCUAGAGACACACUAAAUCUGCUUUCUGGGUUUUAAUCACAUCUUUAAUCAAUUUCCUCUUCUCUCUGUUAUUUGCCCCCCUUACAUUCCAUGACACAAUUCGAAUCCUCAUCUAACACACUCUUGAUACCCCCUGUCCCCUCCUGACCCGCUAUAAUUCACCGACCAUUCUAGUUUCUUCAACUCGCGGUCAAAUCUUGAGGUUCUCUGUCCUUUCCUCUUUUUUCCGCUUAAAUUCUCACUUCUAUCUCUUCUGUCCCUCAUUUUAUGGAGAAGUUUCAGAAUAUCCCUCUCACAGCCCUCUGUUGGCAUUCCCAAACAAUGGCAAAACUUUGCCAAACAGCUGUAAUUCCACGAUUCCAUAUCCUUUUCCUCGCCCCAUUCCUUCCUUCCUUCUUUUAGCGGGAAAAACCCGCUCAUACUCUUCUCUCCCAUUCUCUCUUCUGCCGAACGCAUGCUUAGAGGGUUGAUACUUAACCCCUCUUCGGUUUCCUUCAGAAUGACCUCAUGGCCACAUCUCUCCUCCAUCUCAAGCAAAGAACCCCCCAUCCCAGAGAAAGGAGAAAAAGAAGAAGAGGCCCGACCCCCCCACACGCAAACAGUCGAAGGCUUUAAGAGGGAAUACCUGGAAGCUUCCUCCAAAAAGCACUCGUCCGUUAUUGAGCAGCGCUCUGGUGUCCCUCUCGCCGCUGAUGGCCCCAUCCCUCCAACUAGUCUGUCUUCGGCGAAAAAUUCCUCAGCUGGCACAAGGCAAGACGAAGCCCUAGCAUUAACGCCGGGCUCAUCCCAGGGAGGCUUAUAAGCAAGCGGGGCCCAAACUGAUGCUAGGAUGGGCUGCCCCUCUCCUCCUGCCACUCUGGG
rnacentral:lncRNA from 1 species